CAGGAAGUAGCUGAAGAGCUAAGAAACUUGUGAGAUGGGGAUCUUCAGUGUUGGAAUGCUUGAAAAGGGAUAACCAGUCAUUGUUUCAAGACCCUCCGAUUUCUUUGCAGGUAAUGUUAGUAAGUGAACUGUUGCACCUGCAGUUUUGCUAAUGCAGCACUGGUGUUGACAAUUUGUAAAAUUAGUAGGCUGUGUGGUCAUAAAGAGGCAUAAAACAAGUUAUUUGAUUAUUGUUGGGUCUCGAAUGAUGAAAAAUUAGAGCUUGAUUUGAGAUAAAAUCGAAUUAUUUGUUCCGUUUAAAUUUUAAACAUUGAUGGAGUAUUAUUUAUUUAUCAUGUUUUAGUAUAUAAAUUAACAAUAAAUUAAUUUUAACAGAUAAUAUUUAGUUAUUUACAUGAUUUCUUUUAAGAAAUCAUUUUUCCUUGCUACUUAGUUUUUUAGUUUCAAAAAAUUAUAUUAAUACGUAUAUAAUAAAUAAAAUUUUCUUUUCUUAUUACUACAUUAAUAAUUCAACAAGGCAUGUGAUUAAUUUUUGACGGGGUCUAAUUUGAACCUAAUGGAGUCCACCCGAAAUAAUGAAUCAUUUUCUUUUUAUAUGUGGAGAUGAAAAGAAACGUGGUAAUAAUAUGUACUUAAAUUUUUACAUCGUGAGGGAUAGGGAUAAAGAUAGAUUUAAAUUAUUAGGGAGUGACGGUAAAGAUGAAUAAAGAAUGGGAAAAUUGAUCCAAAAGCUAAUAAUGGGGAGAGGGGAAAUGUUUGUCCAUAUAUGAAUUCUACUGAAAAUGUAAAUAAUGUAAGCAUUAAACACAUGUUUUUAUUAAUUUAUAUAUAUUUAUAUUUUUGGAAAAAUAAAAUAACAAAUAUUCAUGAUAUAUAGUUCUGAACAUGCAGUUAGCUGAGUAGACAAUUAGAGCCCAUAUGCAUGGAUCUCUUGAAAAUGGAGCUCUUGAAUGUACCCCAACUUCCUAGCAAUCCAUUGUUUGUCUCUCUCAUUCUCCUUUUCACCCUUUUAAUUUGGCUCAAACUAGCAAAAAGGAAACACCUCAAUUUGCCUCCAUCACCCCCAAAGCUACCUAUUAUCGGCAACAUUCAUCAACUUGGCAAACUUCCCCACCGUUCUCUUCGAGACCUCUCAAGGAACUAUGGCUCUCUCUUGCUUCUGCAUUUGGGUUGUAAUCCAACGUUACUGGUUUCAUCAGCCGACAUGGUUAGAGAAAUUCUAAAAGACCAUGACGUUGUUUUCUCCGACAGACCAAGUUCCACUGCAACAAAUAUCUUGUUUUAUGGAUGCAGGGAUAUGGCUUUUGCACCCUAUGGUGAGUACUGGAGACAACAAAAGAAGCUCAGUGUUGUUGAGCUUCUUAGCCACCGAAGAGUACACUCAUUUCAGUUUGUCAGGGAUGAAGAAGUUGAACUUCUUAUCAACAAAAUCCGCCGUGCUUGUCUUAAAGGAGAGUCUAUUAAUCUCUCAGAGAUGCUUAUGUUGGUUUCUAGCAACAUAGUUUCUCGUUGUGUCAUUAGUCGAAGAAGUGAAGAAGAAGAAGAAGAUGGGUGCUGCAAGUUCGGGCAGUUGGCAAAAAAUACGGUGGUUCUCCUCGCAAGUUUCUGUGUAGGGGAUUUGUUUCCUUACCUGAGGUGGGUCGAUGUGCUUACGGGAUAUAUUCCACGUUUGAAAGCAUUAUUUGGAGAACUGGAUUCAUUUUUUGAUCAGAUUAUUAAGGAGCAUACAACAUUGAAAACUGAUGACCAAGUUUCCAAUAAGGACUUCAUUUCUAUAAUUAUGCAGCUCCAAAAGGAUGGCAUGCUUGAGAUUGAUCUCACAAACAUCAAAGCAAUCUUACUGGUUAUUCAACACCCUCUACUUCCUAUGUAUAUAGCAUCCCCCCCCCCCCCUUUUUGCAUGUUGGUCAUAAGUCUUUAAUUUUGUCAAUCUCAGGACAUGUUCGUCGCAGGAACGGAUACCACUGGAGCGACAACAGAAUGGAUGAUGGCUGAACUCCUAAAGCGUCCAAAUGUAAUGAAAAAGGUCCAAGAAGAGGUAAGGAAUGUGGUGGGAAACAAAUAUAAGGUGGAUAUGGAGGAUAUCAACAAAAUGAAGUACUUAAAAUGUGUGCUCAAAGAAACUUUAAGACUGCAUCCGACUGUUCCUCUUCUUGUUCCUCGACAAACAUCUGCAAGUGUUGAAUUGGGUGGCUACCACAUUCCUUCCAAUAUCACCAUCUUGAUAAAUGCAUGGGCAAUUUAAAGAGAUCCCAAAUGGUGGGAAAACCCAGAAGAGUUCAUCCCAGAGAGGUUCGAGAAUAGCUCCAUUGAUUUCAAAGGUCAAGAUGUGCAGUUCAUCCCAUUUGGUUUUGGAAGGAGGAGCUGUCCUGGGAUGCCCUUUGCAGUUACUGUUAUUGAGUAUGUGAUGGCUAAUCUUUUGUAUUGGUUUGACUGGAAGUUACCUGUGGGCGAAAUUGCUGAGAACUUGGACAUGACUGAACUCUAUGGCCAAACAAUCAAUAGGAAAAACCCUCUUCAUGUUGUACCUAUGUCUCAUUUCAGUUUUUAGAUAUUAUAUAUUGGCUAUGGUUUGAGUCUUUUAGCUCUUUCUUUUAUUUGGAGAAGACAAUGUUACUAUCUUUGGUUCUUGUUGUAGUAAUUCAACGAAUCCUUAUCGUGCAAGUAAUCAAUAUAAUAAUUCAAGUGCAUUUUACAAAUUUGUUCCAUGUGAAAAUGAAACAAAAUAUUUUUCAAUGCAUAAUAUUUGUUUGGAUAAAGACAAGCUUCAUUUACUCAUCCACCUUCUCUUUUAUGGUAAUCAAAAUUUAUUGAGCUCUCAGUAGCGAAUCCUUUUCUUUUCUCUCAAACCUAAGCCUCUUCACAACCCCUCACACAAAAAUGGCCACCAAAUCAACUGUUGUGAACCUUGAUAACACCAACACCAAUUCCAAUGUGGUGAAGUUCAAUCCGGCAUCUUAGUUGCCUAUCAAACCAGUAGGCAGCCACAAUUUCACGACUAGGAAACCACAAAUCUCCGUGCUCAUGCAUGGACAUAACCUCUUUGGUCAUGUCGACGGCAUAUCUGUUGCUCUACCCACCACAAUUUCUUACGAAAAUAGGAACACUCCAAAUCCAUUAUCAAAACUGGUUUCGCCAAGACCAGUUGGUUCAUAACGCCAUUCUGGAGUCGGUCGAUCCAUCCUUACGUCUACUGUUAAUUCACAUUAUUUUACUUCCAAUAAUUCAUUUUUGGUCCAAUAAUUCAUUUACAUUACAGUUAAUAAUUCAUCUUUAACUUUGCUUCAUUUUUGGUGGGAUCUCUACUUUUUCAAUAAUCCUUUACUUUUUCAAUAUACUACAUACAUCAUUCAUUUUGCAAGUUUAAUUCACAUUAUUUGACCUCCAAUAAUUGCGGGGUUUACUUGAAAUUCUUUUGGUUUCAAUAGGUUUUUAUUUUUAUUUUUUUAAUGCUUAAUUUUAAUAAAUAAUAAUGAGUUUUUGGAGAAAUAUUUAAGAAAACUUUUUUAGUUGCUACUAUUUAUAUAUUAUUAUGUAAUAUUUUUGGUUUUAUUAAGCAUUUGAUUUUAAAUACUUCAAUAUUCGCACAAUUAAGAUUUUUACAAAAAAUAAAAAAAACUCAUAAUAAAUCUGGACAAUAUUAUGUCUAGGUUGAUUUAAAUUUGAUCAAAAAUUUAUCAUUUUAUAUUUUUUAGAAAUUUAUAUAUUUAGAUGGGUUUAGGGUAGGAUUUUUUAAUAUUAACAUUUGUUUUAUUAUCUUAUUUUGUUAAAAUAUAUUUUAUAUUUUAAUAAAAAGGAAUUUUAAUUUAUUUUUUAUGAAUUAAAAAGUUAAAAGACGCAUGGCUUGACUUGAUUAUUCAUCAAAUUUUUUUUUAAAGUUUUGGACUAAAACAUAUAACAAAAUGAUACUUUAAGUAUUAAACUGGACCAAAAAAAAGUUUAAGUAUCAAAAUUAGAAAACAAAUAUAUAAAUCAUGAAUUAAGCUAAAAAAAUAAAUAAAACACGUAAUUUAAUUAUUGUUAGAUAUUGAUCCGUGAAAAAUUAGAGCUUGAUUGAAACAAAACAUAUAUAUUUUUUUAUAUUCCCUCAUUUUUUUGUACUUUUUCAUAUAAAUUUUUAAAUAUUCUCUCCAGUAUUAAAAAUUAUGAGGGAAUAUCAAUUAUUAAUUUAUCUUAUAAACUUUGCUUUAUUUAUUUAUUUUUUUAAUUUUAAAUAUUAUUUGUAUAUAUAACAAAUUUUAUUAGCAUACAAAAAUAUUUAUUUUAUAUUAAAAAAUAAAUUUUUAAAUCAAAACUUUAUUUUGAAGCGAAGGCAUGCUAAAAAUUAUGAGAGAAUACUAAAAAUUAUAAGGAUAACCAAUAAUUAUGAAUGUUGACACCUUUUUUUCUGGUAAAACGGCGUUGACUUGGUUUUUUUUAAAACGAAAACGAAAACAAAAAUGGGAGUCACCACCAAUCUUUUUUGAUGAGGUGUGAUUGGGUCACCUUGUAAAAGAUGUUAUUUUAAUAAAUGAUUUGAUUUAUUAAAACAAUAAUUUCGGUCUACGAAAUUCAGAAAAACGGGUUCAGGAGUCGGUUACGUACGAGGAAGGAUUAGCGCCCUCGUAACGCCCAAAAUUGGUACCUAGUUGAUUAGUUAAUGUCUUAAUGUCGAAGAUUGAAAACUUUAAAGAGAUUUAGAGUACGAUCCUUAAAAAAAAAACUCGAACGACAUGGAUUGAGAUUUAAGAGGAUAUUUGGCUAUUUAGUUGAACGAGAAAUCGAAACCCAACACGUUAGGGCACGUUUUCUCGAAUUUCUAAACGCAAAAUAUUGCCUCACUUUGAAAUUUUAAAAGGAUAUUUGGCUAUUUGGUCGAACGAGAAAUCGAAACCCAACACGUUGGGGCACGUUCUCUCGAAUUUCCAAACACAAAAUAUUGCCUUACUUUGAAAGUUUAAAAGGAUAUUUGGCUAUUUGGUCGAACGAGAAAUCGAAACCCAGCACGUUAGGGCACGUUCUCUCGAAUUUCCAAAUGCAAAAUAUUGCCUUACUUUGAAAGUUUAAAAGGAUAUUUGGCUAUUUGGUCGAACGAGAAAUCGAAACCCAGCACGUUAGGGCACGUUCUCUCGAAUUUCUAAACGCGAAAUAUUACCUUAUUUGAAAACUUUUUCCUUUUUUAUUUGAAUAAUGGAAGAAAGUCGAGAAAAUAUCUAUCAAUAUGCAUGUAGUUUAUUUGAUUAUGCUUUUAAAGAGAUCGUUUAAACUUUGAAAGGAUCCUAUGCGGCUAAUAACGUAAUUGUAAUAUACGUUUGAAAUUGAUAAUGAAAUAAUUUACAUAAAAAAGACAUAAUAGACAUGGCAUCAAUACUAAUGAAUCGUAAAGUUAAUACGCAUAAACGACAACACUCAUGAUAACGCAAAUGUCAAUAUACUAGCAAAUGAUAAUAAUGACAAUAAAGGAUAAAACUAAAUUUGAAAGUACAUAAAAAUAGUAAAUAAAUGAAGAGGAAUAAAAAUUAUAAAGGGAACAUAGAAUAAACGAGCCAAUUUUUUUUAAAAUAAAAAUACAAAAAAAUCGAAAUAAUUUAAAAUAAAUAAAUAAAAAAGGAUUCUUUUUUAUUUUAAAAAAAAAGUAUAUGAAAAAAUGUUAAAAGAUAUUAUACAUAUAAGAUAUUUAAAAACAAAUGAUGUAAUAAAAUCUUAUAUAAAUAUUAAGUAAACGUUUUAAAUUAAAUAAUAUGUAUAAAAAUUAAAAUAAAUAAUAAAAGAACGAGUUAAAUAAUAAUAUAAAUUUUAAAAUAAAUAAAUAACAUAAUUUGCAAAAAUAAAUUGAAAUCUAACAAAAUCGGGACCAAAUCGGGACAAAAAUGAAGUUAAAGGGUAAAAAAGGUAAUAUAAUAAGCAAACAGGACUAAAAUCAAAGUUGUGCAAAAGUUGGGGACCGAAUGGAUAAAUAAAGCCAAAUCUGGACACGUGUCCGCCGUUUCGGUGUGUCAGUGAGCCAGGGACGAGUUUGAAAAAAAAGAAAAAUUCUGGGGAUAAAUUUAAAAAAACAAAAUUGAGUAAAUUAAAUGAAACAUAAACGCAGAGGGACCAGUGUUGCAAAUAGUCCAUUUACUGCCAACAUGCGGAUCCUGUGAACUGUUGGGUCGGGUCGCGGGUCAGAGGUCCAAAACGACUUCGUUUUGGCCUCUGAACCCCACCUCCAAAACGGUGCCGUUUAAUGUCUCUUUAAAAACCAAAUUUUUUUUGCAGUUUCAUUUUCUCCAAAGAACAGAAAAAAAGAAAAGAAAGGGGCUCCCUUUCUCUGCUAGGGCUUCAAACCUAGCUUCGGAAUCCCGCCGACAUCCGCCGUUCCUCUAUCGCGACGCCACCGAGGACGACGGCCGACGUCAUGCAGAUCCAAGGGUUUUUUAGCCUUUAACCACCAAAAACAGGCAAGAAGAAAAAGAGAAAAAAUAAACCAUCCUCGUCCCUUGUUUCAACUUGUCUCCGGUGACAGAGAGCGGGGCUCCGGCGAAGAGACUGUGGCGCUCAGGUAGGUUUUGGGUUUUUAUUUUAUUAUUUUCGUAAAUAAAAAAUAAGAAAUGAAUAAGAAAUAAAUAAAAUAUGCUAGAUCUAGGGCAGAAAACGCAAUAUCACCUUUGAAUUUUUCCUUUUUUAUUUCAAUUUUUCCAAGAAGAGAAUACAAAGCCUUAAUUUUCGACCUUUAUAGCCGAACUAGGGCUGUUAAUCAUCAUUUCUUUGUCUUUUUCUGUUUGUUUUUCAUUUUUUGUCUACUAUCCCUAUUUUGUCUGUUUAUUCGUUGUCUUCUUUUUCUUUGCUGUUGUGUGUUGUUCUUUGUUUGCAGGUCAAAAGGCCUGUGAUUGGCGAGCAACGGCGGUGGUGUGCGAGGAGGCGUGCGAUGGCGCAGCGCUGGAGAAGGCCUGCAGACAUGCGGCGCGCCCUAGAGUUUGCUUCACUGCUGAAUGGGGUUAAUUUUGGGCUAGGGUUUCUUAAUUUUUGGGCUUGGGUAUUUUGGGCCAUUGUUUGUAUUUUUCUGGACUGUUUGUAUUUGGAUUUUGGGCUUUCGAGUUUUGGGCCACGGGCAAAAUGGGUAUUAUAGCUGCCUCUCUUUGCUCAUUGUCGUGUAACGAGAAUGGAGCAAAGACCAAGAAAGACCAAUUUUGCCCAGUCCCGCCGAGUCUUGACUUAUUUUGGUGCUCACUUUUUUUAAGUAUCUUCAAUCAAGUCCGCUAUCAUGUUGCUUCAAUUCACUCUACUGUACUUCAGAGUUAUAUGAUUUCAAUAUACUCUGUCGCAACUCCAUGGCGAUGAGAUUUGUGGUUUUAGGAUGUUCCACUGCAAUUUCAAGGAGAUAGGAUUGGUUUCUUUCGUCUGCUCCACUACUGCUUAGGGAGAUAAGACUUGAUGCGAUCUGCUCUACUGCAACUUCAGAGAUAUAAGAUCUGUAGUUUUAAUCCGCUCCACUACAACUUCAGGGAGAUAGGAUUGAUUUCUUUCGUCUGCUUCACUGCCAGUAAGGAUUAGGCAGGCAUUUUCCAUCCGAAUUCACAGGAUUAGGCAGACAUUUUCCAUCCAUCUCAGUUAAAAUUAACGCUCCUCCAGAGAAGGCAUUCUUUACUACAUAAGGUCCUUCCCAGUUUGGCAUCCACUUUCCCCUGAAGUCCUUUUGUAUGGGAAGGAUCUUCUUUAGUACCAAAUCCCCUUCAUGAAAUUCUCUAGGACGAACUUUGUUAUUGUAAGCUCGUAUCAUUCGCUUCUAGUACAUUUGACCAUGACGGAUAGCUUUUAGCCUUUUUUCUUCAAUCAAAUUCAGUUGAUCAUAUCGGGAUUGGAUCCAUUCUGCUUCUUCUAACUUUAGUUCUGACAAAACUCGGAGAGAGGGAAUUUCAACCUCGAUUGGCAGCACCGCCUCCAUUCCAUAAACCAAAGAAAAUGGCGUUGCCCUUGUAGAGUCCUGACAGACGUUCGAUAAGCAUAUAAGGCAAAUGGUAACUUCUCAUCUAUAGGUCUCAGUCAUUUUUCCCACGAUCUUCUUGAUGUUCUUAUUGGCUACUUCCACUGCGCCAUUCAUUUUUGGGCGAUAUGGCGAUAAGUUAUGGUGCUUGAUCUUGAAUUGACUACAGACCUCCACUAUCGUGCUGUUGUUCAAGUUCAAUGCAUUGUUAGAUAUAAUCCUUUCGGGCAUCCCGUACUGACAGAUGAUCUCUUUUUUUAGGAAUUUACUGACUGCCGAUUUCGUGACGUUGGCGUAUGAAGUAGCUUCUACCCACUUAGUAAAGUAGUCAAUCACUACAAAGAUGAAAUGAUGUCUAUUUGAAGCCUUUGGUGAUAUCGGUCCAAUGACGUCCAUGCCCCACAUAGAAAAAGGCUAUGGAGAAGUCAUGACGUGAAGAGGUGAGGGAGGCACAUGAAUUUUGUCUCCGUAAAUCUAGCACUCAUGGCACUUCUUAGCAUACUAGAUGCAGUCUCCUUUCAUGGUGGACCAAUAGUAUCUGAAUCUCAUGAUUUGUCUGGCCAUUAUAAACCAUUAGCGUGUGUUCCAUAGACACCAUUGUGGAUCUCUUCUAAGAUUUGCUUAGCCUCAAUGGCAUCCACGUAUCUUAGCAGCACCUGAUCCUUUUCUCUUUUGUAUAGGAUCUCUCCAUCUAAAACGUAGUCACUAGCCAGCCUCCUCAACGUUCUCUUGUCAUUCUCAGUUGCUUGGUCUGGGUAUUCGCGAUUUUUCACGUAUCGCAAUAUGUCUUGAUACCAAGGGUGGUCAUCUUUUUCUUCUUCUUCAUCAAUGUUACAACAGUGAGCUGGAGCCUCCUAAAUGCUCAUUUGGAUAGGCUUCACAUCCUCUUAUUUAUUUACAUUAAUCAUGGAGGCCAACGUAGCCAAAGCGUCAGCCAUCUGAUUCUCAUCUCGUGGGAGAUAACAAAAAGUGAUGUCGUCAAACUCCUCAAUUAAAUUACUAAUGCAGAAUCCUUAUAUACCUCAAGUACCCUGAUUUUACGUUCAAUAGCUGUACGAAUUCCCAUGAUACAUGCUUCAUAUUCCGCCAUGUUAUUUGUGCAAUCAAAAUCUAGUUUGCUAGUGAAUGAAUAAUGAUCACAGUUUGGAGAUACCAAGAUUGACCCAAUCUCAUUACCCACAACAUUUGAGGCUCCGUCAAAGUUUAAUUUCCAAGAAUUACUUUCUUAUGUGUUUACUUCAGUAGUUGCCACAUACAUCAGAUCCUCAUUUGGGAAAUCGAAGUUCAAAGACUCAUAAUCUUCCAGGGCUCUACUAGCUAGAAAAUUUGCUAUUGCACUCCCUUUUAUGUCCUUUCGGUUCACAUAGGCUAUGUCAAAUUUAGACAGUAGAAUUUGCCAUCGAGCCAUCCUUCCGUUUAGAGCGGUUGACUCCAUCAUGUAUUUCAGAGGGUCCAAUUUUGAGAUUAACCAAGUCGUAUGGUAUAACAUGUAUUGUCUCAAUCUCUGAAUGGUCCAGACCAAAACAUAACACAACUUUUCAAUCGGCGAAUAUCUCAUUUCACAUUUAGUGAACUUCUUGCUGAGAUAAUAGAUCGCUCUUUCUUUUCGUCCUGACUCAUCAUGUUGACCGAGUACACACCCCAUAGAAUUUUUGAAUACUACCAAGUAUAGUAUCAAUAGCCUAUUUGGGUAAGGUGGCAUCAGUACUGGGGCGUUGGACAAGUAAUGUUUGACUUUUUCGAAUGUUUUCUGGCACUCCUCAUCCCAUACACCUGGAUUGUGUUUCCUAAGGAGACGAAAAAUGGGGUCACAUUUCUCAGUUAACUGUGAAAUAAACCGAGCGAUAUAAUUUAGUCUUCCCAGAAAACCUCAAACUUCUUUCUGAGUACUUGGUGGAGGCAAUUCUUGUAUGGCUUUGACUUUGUCCGGGUCAAUCUCAAUUCCCCUUUCACUGACUAAAAAUCCUAGCAACUUUCCUGAUCUAGCCCCGAAAGUGCAUUUGGCUGGGUUAAGCUUUAGCUGGAAUUUCCUUAACCCUAGGAAUAGUUUUCUCAGGACUUGCACAUGUUCCCUAUCCGUUCUAGACUUUACGAUCAUGUCGUCAACAUAGACUUCUAUCUCUUUAUGCAUCAUAUCAUGGAACAAGGUUACCAUGACUCUUUGAUAUGUCGCUCCCGUAUUUUUUAGCCCAAACGACAUCACUUUGUAGCAAAAUGUUCCCCAUAUUGUUACGAAGGUGGUAUUUUCCAUGUCUGCAGGAUGCAUCCUAAUUUGGUUGUACCUAGAGAAACCAUCCAUGAAAAAGAACAAUGAGUAUCCGACUGUGUUAUCCACUAAGGUAUCGAUAUAGGGCAAUGGGAAAUUGUCCUUGGGACUGGCUUUAUUCAAAUUUCUGUAGUCCACACACAUUCGCACUGUCCCAUCUUUCUUAGGAACAGCGACUAUGUUGGCUACCCAUUCUGAAUACUUGACCACCUGUAAGAACUCAGCAUCAAACUGCUUCUUGACUUCUUCUUUUAUUUUUAGUAGGACAUCAGGCCUCAUCCUUUAGAGCUUUUGUUGGACUGGUUUGCAUUCCUCCUUUAUAGGCAGUCGGUGUACCACAAUAUCAGUAUUCAGGCCAGGCAUGUCUUGAUAAGACCACGCGAAAACAUCUUUAAACUAUUGAAGCAACUUAAUGAGGUCUCGCUUUGUUUCCUUGGUAAUGCAAGCACCAAUCUUUACUUCUUUCCAUUCUCCUAAAUUCACCAUUUCUACGGACUCCUUAUAAGGAAGGAUUUGUUUCUCUUCUUGCUCCACCAUUUUUAACAAAUCAGGAGAUAAGACGCUGUCUUGGUCAUCUUCAAAAUCUUGAGGAUCAUCUGUACCCAUGUCUUGUUCAAAUAGGGGCUCUGAGCUAAUAGCAAUGUCGCUCACAUCAUUAAUAUCUGAGGACCUGUUAUUGGGAUGAAGGGAGGUCCAAAGAAAAAGAACCUAAGAAUAAUUGUAUGCACAAUAUGAUUAUAAAUGGAAUGAAAGAAUAUUUGUUCAAAAUGAGAUUGAAUGAUGAGUUUUAUUGAAACAAGAUUUUAGACAUGUGCCUUUUACAAAAGAUUCUUAUUACCCCCAGACUUAGGGCAACAAGUGUUCUGAAUAUUACUCUUAAUUAGUUCUAAAUAUUACAGGGAUCUCUUCUGCAGUCUAGUUGUCUAGAACACUUCCACGUUCGUAAGGGCGGAUGCCUUACAUACUUCCUUCUCCGAGUUCUUCUUUGAAUAUAGCAUUGCUGUUUAGGUUUUUUAACAUUUCUUCUGUAGUAUCUCUUCUUAAUGUCGUCGUUCAGGGUAAAUGUUUCCACCUGAUACGAAAGUCCUGGAUAUGUGGGGGAAGGUCAUAGGUUCCCAAUCAAUGUCUCCUCUGCUUAAACGCGCCUUCCUCCUCUCUUGUUUCUUUUCCAACUUUUUCUUCAUUUGCUUCGCGUCUGGCUUAAAUCCUAAGCCAAAGCGGUCUCAUUUAUCCUUCAGCAUUGGUAUCUCCGUCCUUCCUUGAAGGCAUGUUCCGAGUCCUCUCCCAGGCAAGGCUCCCUUCCCAAUUGUCAUCUGCAGUCCCAUCCUCGUGGUUUUGGAUAUGCUGGGCCUUGGGAUCUUAUCCCCUUCAACAACAAAGGUUGCGUUUACAAAUUCCAAAGAUCGAAAGGAACAUUAGAUCGCCUCAUCGUCUGCCCCUAAAUAUGGCGCAUCACUGGUUACCGAUGCAAUAAUGUCUUCUUCUGCACUUAUUGUAACCAACCGACCCUCUGUAACCAAUUUCAAUUUUUGGUGCAAUGAUGAAGGCACUGCCCCUGUUGAGUGAAUCCAGGGUCUUCCCAACAAGCAAUUAUACGAAGGUUUGAUAUCAAUUACCAAGAAAUCUACCUCGUACGUAUUCGGGCUAAUCAAAAGUGGUAUUUCUAUUCUUUCCAUUACCUUCCUUUCAGUGAAGUCAAAUGCUCUCACUAUAUUCUGGCAUGAUUUUAUGUGAGAGCUGUCCACCGGCAAUCUGUUUAAAGUGGAUAAGGGUAAGACAUUCAAGGUCGAUCCAUUAUCGAUUAACACCCCUGGCAACGUAUAUCCCUUGCAACGAGUGGUGAUAUGUAGGGCUUUGGUGGAUCCUCUUCCUCUCGACGUUAUUUCAUCAUCAUUAAAGAAGAUGAAGUUGUCAGCACUUAUAUUGUUAAUCAGGCGGUCCAACUUGUUCACUGAGAUAUCGUUAGCAACAUAAGUCUCAUUUAGCAUUUUUGUCAACGCAUUAUGAUGUGUCUCUGAACUUAAGAGUAACUCAAAUAUUGAGAUAGGAACCGUUGCUUAUGCAGUUGUUCCACCAUGCUAUACUCGCUAUGCUUUAAGAAUUUUAAGAAUUCUCUAGCCUUGCUUUCAGUCACUGGUUUGUUAUACGAUUCAGUUCUGGCCGUCUUUGUUUUUCUUGCUCAACUGCCAAGGCUUUUCCUUUUAUGGGUUCCACUCCGGCAUUUGCUGGAUCGUAGCGUUUUCCGCUACGUGUAUAGAAGCCUACAUCAUUUCCUUCUUCUGAAUCAUUCACCGGAUUCUCCUCUCUCGGUAUCGUCACAUUGGAGUUAUAAUUCCAAGGGACCUUUUUGCUAUCAUUGUAUGAAAAGGAUACGGGCUUUUGGAUUAUGAUCCUUGGCGCUAUUUGUAUUCCAGAUUCUGUGCUCCUUGGCCGUGAAAUAAUCACCACCGGAUGAUUAACCCUUUGGGCUUUUCCCGUGGAUCCUUCCUCCGAGGCAUAAACUUCUCCUUCUUCUAGUCCUUUGAUCUCCUCAUAAAAUUCUAACUCUUUGUUGUCCAUUAAGUUUUGCACCAUGGUUCUGAACUCAGUGCAUUUUUGGAUGUUAUGGCCCUCUUCGGCAUGAAACUCACAGUACUUCCUCGUUCUUUCAGGCCUUUCCAUUGAAUCUUGCUUGUUGAGACCUCCCUCUAUCAUUUGCCUCCAAACCCAACUCAAUGGGGUUUUUACCUCUGCAAUGUCAGCUUUGAUUCUCUUUCCCCCACCCUCGAUUAUCACAGUUACCCCUUUAUCAGAAUGAUUGGGUAACGGAUUCCCUGCUACGUUUGGUCCUGAUGGGUUAUCAAAUUUUACAAUCCUCAUCUUAAUAAAUCUUUCCACCACCUUUUUAAACCCAGUGCAGUUCUCAAUCGAGUGCCCCGUUAUCCUUGCGUAGUAUUCACAUUGAGCAUUCACGGCAUACCAUUUAGGGUAUGGAGGUUGCAUGAGUUUUAGAUAAAAUGGAGAUACUAUGUGUGCAUCAAAUAGCUUCUGAUACAGUUCCUUGUAUGUUAUUGGAAUGGGCGUGAAUUGAAGUCUUUCUCUGUUAGGCCUUGUGUUGGACUCUUGCCUUGAGGGGCCUUGGUGACUAGUGGUUACUGCUCUUGCUUGUCCUACUGUAAUUGGCUUAGAAUAACAUUUUUUAAACAUACUUGCGUUGUUUAUCUCGUGCUCUUUCUUUCUCGGGGCUGGCCUCUUGAUGCUUUCUCCUACGUCUAUUUUACCGCUUCUUAUUACAUUUUUAAUCAUUUCACCAGACAUUACCAUAUCCGAGAAGCUCUUGGUAGCACUCUCCAAUAUGUGGUUGAUGAAUGGGGCUUUCAAAGUAUUGAUAAAAAGCAUGGUGACCUCUUUUUCCAAAAGGGGUGGCUGGACUAGUGCUGCCACCUCUCGCCAUCUCUGGGCGUAUUGUCUGAAGCUCUCACUAGGCUUUUUUUUCCAUAUUCUUUAAUGUAAUUCGAUUGGGUGUUAUGUCCGUCACAUGACUGUAUUGCUUCAUAAAAGCUUGCACCAAGUCUCUCCAUGAACUAACUUUAGUAUGACUCAGCUUGUUGUACCACUUGGAUGCAGACCCGAUCAAACUGUCCUAGAAGCAAUGGAUUAACAGUUGAUUAUUGUUGAUGUAUCCUAUCAUUCUUCGACAGAACAUAGUUAUAUGAGCUUCAGGACAACUAGUCCCGUUGUACUUUUUGAACUCCGGCAUCUUGAACUUAGGCGGGAGCACUAAAUCAGGAACCAAACUCAAAUCCUUAUCGUCAACUCCACAUUGGUAGUCAGUGUUCUCCAUGGCUUUAAAUUUCUCUUCUAGCCAGCUACACCGGUCCUUAAGGUGUUUUGGCAGGUCUAUUCUUGCUUUUUCCAUUUCUGCCAUGUCAUCGAGAUCAGGGACCACAGGGUUGGUAGAGUUGACCCCUGGAUUAGAACCCGAGCCUGUUUAAAAGUGUAUUGGUACCGAGACGCCAGCCUGAUAUUGAGGUCUAAUAGUGACAGGUGCUGUAACAACCCGGUUUGACUCUAAUCAGAAUAGUGGUUUCGGGACCACAAAUCCGAGUCCUAAAAAUAUUUCAAUAUUAUUUUGUGUGUUUACUUUGUGUGCAUUUGAUUGUGUGAAAUUUUCGUGUUUUAAUUUUGUUGUUUGAGUGUCCGAUUAAAUAAAAGGAUUAAAUCGCGAAAAAUAAAAAUUUAGGGGUUAAUUAUAAAAGCACCUAAUUGUUGUUGUCUUUUUAAAUGGAAGGAUUUAUGAUGAAAUAAGACCAUAAAGUAGUGAGUGGGUGAUAAUGGUCAAAACUGACCUUAUAUUAUAAAGUUUAUAUAUUUUGUAUUAAAGGUUAAUAUAGUAUACUAAUAAUUAAAUAAACAUAUGAUAUAAUAAAUCAAUUGAAGCCAUUAUUUUCAUUCUUCCUUUGCCGAAACUUAGAAAAACAAAUAGGGUUUAAAAGCUUUGAGGUAUUCGGUCAUUAACAAGCUUAAUUCAAGGUAUGUUUUACUUUGGUUUUUGAUAAUUUUUACGUUUUUGAGAUCGUUGCUUCGUGUUCUUCAAAACCCAUAUCUUAAUUUUGUGAAUUGUGGAUGAUUUUGAAAUGUGCUAUUGAUGAAUGCUUGAGUUUUAUGAUGUUAGUAGGUGAAAUAUGAAAUAUAUUUGUUAGAUUAAUAUAUUUUGUAUUGGAAUUUUUAGUGAAAUUGAGUAAAUAGGGCUAAAUUGUGAAAUUAAAUUUUUGGGGGACUAAAGUGUGAAAUAAAUGCAAUGUGUGGACUUGUAUGAGAACCAUGAAUAUUUGGCCCUUGUAUGGUAUGGGGAAAUUUUGUAUAAAUUGUGUUUUAUGCAAUAGGGACUAAAUUGCAAAAAGUGUAAAUAUUAGGGGCAAAAUAGUAAUUUGCCAAAUUAUGUGUUUUUGGAUUAAAUUGAAUGUGUUAAUAAAUAAAUUAUCUUAUUUUGAAUAUAUUUAGAUCGAGAACCAAAGAAAUCGGAGUUAGAUCGGGGAAAAGCCAAAUUAGUCGAAUAAUCGUCCGACUUCGAUUUUCCAUCGUCCGAGGUAAGUCUAUUAGCUAUUUAAUGUUAUUAAAUCAAUAUAUAUAUGCAUGAAUAUGUAUUAUGUUGUUGUUGAGCUAUAAUUAAAAGUAAUUUAAUUGAAUAAAUUCAAAUUAUAAAUGGUAUAAAUAUGUAUAUACAACGUUCAAAUAUAUAGGUAUAUGCUUAUAUAAAUUUUUGAACUAAUUUAAAGUAUGAAUAGUAUAAAGUUAUAUAUAUAUAUAAAUUCAAAUAAUUAUAUAUGUAUCUAUAUGUAUACAUAUACUUGAAUUUGGUUGGUUGUAUGAGAGUUAUAUAUAUGUGCACUUAGGAUUCAAAUAUAUGUAAGUAAAUACAUGUAUAAAUUCUUGCUUAAAUUAAAGAUAUGUAUAGUACAUAUGUAUACAUAAGUUUCGAACAUAUAGAUGUAUGUAAAAACAUUUGGGUUUGAUUAAAAGUAUGUAUGUUGUAAUUGUACAGAUAAUUUCGAAUAAGUAAGUAUAUGGAGUUGGAACAUCUAUAUAUAUAUAUAUGAAUAAGUCUUGAUUAUAUUUUAAGGUAUAAAUGUUAAAAACGUACUUGGGAGUUCGAAUAUAUCUAAAUGUAUAUUUUUGUACAGAUUCUUGAAUUGAAUCGAAUGUAUGAUUCGCAAACUCUUUUGUGAUUGAAUAUGGACUACAAUGAAUGUGUGUUUGCUGUUAAUAAGUAUUUGAGGAAAUUAUUCUGUAUAUGGGAAAAUUGAGAUUUUCAAGCAUAGCGCUUAGCAGGCUUAUUGCCGGUGAAACACUUCAGACUAUAUGUCUAGCAGGCUUAAUGCCGGUGAAAUAUUUCAGACUAUAUGUCUAGCAGGCUAAGUGCCGGUGUACUGAAUCAGGCUUAAAGCCUAGCAGGCUAAAUGCCGGUGAAUCUGUUUUGAGUAUGUGAUUAGGUGUACAAUUAUAUGAUUUUGGAUAUAUUUAAUUGAUAAGUAUAUUUANNNNNNNNNNNNNNNNNNNNNNNNNNNNNNNNNNNNNNNNNNNNNNNNNNNNNNNNNNNNNNNNNNNNNNNNNNNNNNNNNNNNNNNNNNNNNNNNNNNNAUGCAUUUGAUAAAUAUAUACUUUUAAAUGUUCGGUACACAUAUUUGAUUAGUAACUAUAUAUGCAUUCGAGAUAUAUAUAUAUACCUUGGUUUAUAAGUAUUUGAUGAAAAUGAAUGCAUUCGUUCAUAUGUAUUAGAUUUGUAUUGGUUUAAAGUUUAAAAUGAGUAUUCAUACACAUUCGGUUAUGAUAUGUGUAUAAUAUAUAUAUAUGCUCUGUUGUAUACAUUCGUUGUAAUGUGUUUGGUAUAAAAAUAUAUAUUCAAUUGAUCGCUUUCGACAGGUAUGCAUAUCUGUCUAUAAAUGAAAUGGGCUGAGUACAAUAAUAUAUAAAUAUUAGUUAUUCGUGUUAAUUGAAAUCUCAGUGAAAUAGAUUAAAAAGUAACUUUAUUUAUAUAUAUAUACAUUUAGUUAUGCUGUAGACUUACUAAGCUAUAAAAGCUUACUUUGUUUUUUUUCGUCCAUUUGCUUUUAUAGAUUUUGGAGACGCGUUACGAGCUCGGGGAUCAUCAGCAUAGUCCAUCACACUAUCGACUUCUUUUGGUAUUUUGUUAAAUAUUUGAACUCAAUCUUAUGGCAUGUAUAGGUUUGAGUACGAUGUUAAUUACAUUUUGAUUGUAAAUUAUAAUAGCUAUGCGAAAGUAAUUAAAUUUUUACGUUGUGAUCAGUUUGGUUUUAAAAAUGUUGAAUUUGUUCGGUAAUGCCUCGUAACCCUAAUUCGGUGACGGAUACGGGUUAGGGGUGUUACAUUUUAUUGGUAUCAGAGCUACGAUUUAGUCGAUUCUCGGACUAACGUAACGUGUAUGAGUCUAGCUAUACAUGCCAUAUUUUUUAUAUCGAGAUAGUGUGAUGACUGCUGACGUCUAAAAAUGUGUUUUCGUAUAGUAAUGGAUCCCGAUCGAGCCGUAGCUGAUGAUGUUGAGAGUAUAGCGCCUGCUCCCGCGUAAGAGACAGAGCCGGUAGAUUCUCGACAGACCUCGAGUAACCAGGAAGGAGAGGCUAAACAAGCCUUUUACCAAAUGAUGAAUGACUGGUUUACUCAAUAUGUCCGAACUAAUCCGGUUGCACAACAACCUCCACCCACGACUAAUCCAUCUUCGGUUCCUGUUAUACCUCAAGUAAGUGUUCCGAUGAGAUUACUUAAGCCUCCUGUUGAUAAAAUUCGAAAACACGGGGUCGAAGAGUUCAGAGCUACUGAUGAUGAUGAUGCUGAGCGAGCUGAAUACUGGCUUGAUAAUACUAUUCGAGUAUUUGAUGAGUUGUCUUGCACCCCUAAUGAGUGCUUGAAAUGUGCCAUAUCCUUGCUACGGGACACUGCAUAUCACUGGUGGAAUACACUAGUAUCAGUGGUUCCGAAAGAGCGAGUGACCUGGGAAUUCUUUCAGACUGAGUUCCGUAAGAAAUACAUCAGCCAGAGAUUCAUUGAUCAGAAACGUAAGGAAUUUUUUGAAUUGAAACAGGGUCGGAUGACAGUGACAGAAUAUGAACGGAAAUUUGUAAGACUCAGUAGAUAUGCUCGAGAGUGUGUUUCGACUGAAGCUAUUAUGUGUAAAAGAUUUGAAGAUGGGCUGAAUGAAGAUAUUAAACUGUUAGUGGGCAUACUUGAGAUAAAGGAGUUCGUAGUACUUGUUGAACGAGCUUGUAAAGCCGAAAAGCUCGGGAAAGAGAAGAGGAAAGCUGACUAUGAAACUCGAGAUUCCCGUAAACGAUCAUUUAGUAAAUAGUUCCAGUCGACCUCAAGAAAAUCCAGAGAGGAUCAUAGCUGAUCUAAAUCUACUAUAGGGUUUCCUAAGUAUGAUCGAGAUCGACCCCCUGUGAGUUCACGAGUUACUUCAGUUGCUAGCGUUGGUAGUGUUCAACAAAAUAGAUCAGAGUGCAAGGCUUGCGGGAAAUGGCAUCCUGGAGAUUGCAGAUUACAUGAUCGAUCUUGCUUUAAGUGUGGUUCAAAGGAUCAUUUCAUUCGAGACUGUCCGAUGGUAGCUGAGCAAAACACUAUGCAGAAUACCAGACCGAGUAAUGUGUCAGUACGAGGUAGACCACCAAGACAUUUGGGUAAUGUAAGUGGUAGUCAAAGAGGGACAAAGGACACGGCAGUUCGAUCUGAGGCUCGUGCACCUGCCAGAGCAUAUGCCAUCUGUGCUCGGGAGGAGGCUUCUUCUCCAGAUGUUAUUACUGGUACUUUCACUCUUUAUGAUACUAAUGUUAUUGCAUUGAUUGAUCCUGGUUCGACUCAUUCUUAUGUGUGUGAGACUUUAGUAUUCAGUAAGACUUUGUCUGUUGAGUCUACUGAGUUUGUAAUUAAAGUAUCGAACCCCCUGGGCCGGUGUGUUUUGGUUGACAAAGUGUGCAAGAAUUGUCCGUUGAUGAUUCGAGAUUUAUGUUUUCCGGCUGAUUUGAUGUUGUUACCAUUCGACGAGUUUGAUAUAAUUCUGGGUAUGGAUUGGUUAACUCUGCAUGAUGCUAUAGUAAACUGCAAACGAAAAACUGUUGAUCUACGGUGUCAGAAUGAUGAGAUUAUUCGGAUUGAAUCUAAUGAUCUGAAUGGUUUACCAGCAAUAAUAUCCUCGAUGUCGGCUCAGAAGUAUGUGAGAAAAGGUUGUGAAGCUUACAUUGCAUUUGUUCUUGAUAGUAAAGUGACCGAAAAGAAGAUUGAAUCUGUGCCAGUAGUGUGCGAGUAUUCAGACGUGUUUCCCGAAGAAUUAUCGGGUUUGCCACCUAUUCGAGAGGUAGAGUUUGGUAUUGAGUUAGUACCAGGGGCGACUCCAAUCUCGAUAGCUCCGUACCGUAUGGCACCGACCGAAUUAAAAGAAUUGAAAGUACAGUUGCAAGAGUUGACUGAUAAAGGUUUUGCACGACCGAGUUUCUCUCCUUGGGGUGCACCAGUUCUGUUUGUGAAAAAGAAAGACGGAACGAUGAGAAUGUGCAUUGAUUACCGGCAACUCAAUAAGGUGACUAUAAAGAAUAAGUAUCCGUUACCACGGAUUGAUGAUUUGUUCGAUCAGUUGAAAGGGGCUACUGUGUUUUCGAAGAUAGAUCUGAGAUCAGGCUACUAUCAGUUGCGAGUUAAAGACUCUGAUGUGCCAAAGACUGCUUUCCGAAUGAGGUACGGACAUUAUAAGUUUCUUGUUAUGCCUUUCGGACUUACUAAUGCACCUGCUAUUUUCAUGGAUUUGAUGAAUUGGAUCUUUAGGAAGUAUCUGGAUCGGUUUGUGGUAGUAUUUAUUGAUGACAUUUUGAUCUACUCUCGAGACGAAAAUGAGCAUGCCGAACAUCUGAGACUUGUAUUACAAACUUUGCGAGAUAAGCAGUUGUAUGCAAAGUUUAGUAAAUGUGAGUUCUGGUUACGUGAAGUCAGUUUUCUGGGCCAUGUUGUAUCAGCAUCGGGUAUUCGGGUUGAUCCGAGUAAAAUUUCAGCUAUACUUGACUGGAAACCUCCGAGGAAUGUUUCGAAAGUUCAAAGCUUUCUGGGGCUCACUGGCUAUUAUAGACGUUUUGUGAAAGGGUUCUCUAUAAUUGCGACCCCGAUGACAAAGCUACUACAAAAAGACGUUAAGUUCGAGUGGUCAGGAAAGUGUCAGAAAAGCUUUGAUCAGUUGAAAGUUCUUUUGACCGAAGCUCCAGUCCUAGUUCAACCUGAAUCGGGUAAAGAGUUUGUUAUCUAUAGUGAUGCAUCUUUAAAUGGUUUGGGCUGUGUAUUGAUGCAGGAAGGCAAAGUUGUAGCCUAUGCCUCGAGACAGUUAAAGCCGCAUGAAAAGAACUAUCCGACGCAUGAUCUGGAAUUGGCCGCUAUUGUAUUUGCGUUAAAAAUAUGGCGUCACUAUUUGUUUGGCGAAAGAUGUCAUGUUUAUUCUGAUCACAAAAGCCUGAAAUAUUUGAUGACUCAGAAAGAUCUGAAUUUGAGACAGCGUCGAUGGUUAGAAUUGCUGAAAGAUUACGAGCUUGUGAUUGACUAUCAUCCGAGAAAGGCUAAUGUUGUUGCUGAUGCCCUAAGUAGAAAAUCAUUGUUUGCUUUGCGUGCAAUGAACGCACAUAUGGCUAUGUCUGAUGAUCUGAUGAUGAUGCGAUAGUAGCUGAGUUGAAAGCAAAACCGUUAUUUGUUCAACAGAUUUGUGAAGCUCAGAAAACCGAUGAUGAUUUAAUUGCAAAACGAACUCAGUGUGACUUAAAUGUUGAUUCAGAGUUUCUAGUUGAUACUGAGGAUUGUUUGAGAUUCAGAAAUCGAUUAUAUGUUCCGAAAAAUCCAGAGUUAAUUCAGAUGAUUUUGAAUGAAGCCCAUAAUAGUCGAUUUUCUGUUCAUCCGGGUAGCACGAAAAUGUAUAAUGAUCUGAAACAACACUAUUGGUGGCAUGGAAUGAAACGAGACAUCUCUGACUUUGUUUCGAAAUGUUUAAUAUGUCAGCAAGUAAAGGCGGAGCAUUAGGUACCUUCUGGAUUGCUUCAGCCGAUCAUGAUACCUGAAUGGAAAUGGGAUAGAGUUACGAUGGAUUUUGUAUCCGGUUUACCGUUAACACCCAGCAAGAAAGAUGCAAUUUGGGUUGUUGUUGAUAGAUUGACAAAAUCGGCUCACUUUAUUCCGAUUCGUACAGAUUUUUCGCUCGAUAAACUUGCAGAAUUGUAUAUUUCACAAAUUGUGAGGUUGCAUGGUGUACCUAUUUCUAUUGUUUCAGACAGAGAUUCGAGAUUCACAUCGCGAUUUUGGAAGAAACUACAAGAUGCUUUAGGUACGAAACUACAUUUUAGCAUAGCUUUCCAUCCGCAGACAGAUGGUCAAUCUGAACGAAUCAUUCAGAUACUUGAGGAUAUGUUGAGAUGUUGCAUUCUUGAGUUUGAAGGUACAUGGGAACGAUACUUACCUUUGAUUGAAUUUGCUUAUAAUAAUAGCUUUCAAUCAAGUAUCAAAAUGGCACUUAUGAGGCUUUGUACGGUCGUAAAUGUCGUACACCACUGUAUUGGACCGAGCUCAGUGAAAAUAAGAUACACGGGGUUGAUUUGAUUAAAGAAACCGAACAGAAAGUGAAAGUGAUUCGGGACAGUCUGAAAUCAGCAUCGGAUCGUCAGAAAUCUUAUGCGGAUUUGAAAAGAAGGGAUAUAGAAUUUCAGAUCGGGGAUAAAGUGUUUUUAAAAGUCUCACCGUGGAAGAAAAUACUUAGAUUCGGUCGUAAAGGCAAAUUGAGUCCGAGAUUUAUUGGACCGUAUGAGAUUACAGAGCGAGUUGGAUCGGUUGCUUAUAGAUUGAUGUUACCGCCUGAGUUAGAAAAGAUUCAUAACGUAUUCCAUGUUUCGAUGCUCCGUAGAUACCGAUCUGAUCCUUCACAUGUGAUUAGUCCGACGGAGAUUGAAAUUAACUCUGAUAUGUCAUAUGAAGAAGAACCGAUUAGCAUUCUGGCUCGUGAGAUCAAAGAAUUACGAAAUAAGAAAAUUCCGUUAGUUAAAGUAUUGUGGCAUAAACACGGAGUUGAAGAAGCAACUUGGGAGUCAGAAGAUACAAUGAAAGAGCGUUAUCCAAACCUAUUCACCGGUAAGAUUUUCGAGGACGAAAAUCCUUAUGGGGGGAGAGUUGUAACAACCCGGUUUGACUCUAAUCAGAAUAGUGGUUUCGGGACCACAAAUCCGAGUCCUAAAAAUAUUUCAAUAUUAUUUUGUAUGUUUACUUUGUGUGCAUUUGAUUGUGUGAAAUUUUCGUGUUUUAAUUUUGUUGUUUGAGUGUCCGAUUAAAUAAAAGGAUUAAAUCGCAAAAAAUAAAAAUUUAGGGGUUAAUUAUAAAAGCACCUAAUUGUUGUUGUCUUUUUAAAUGGAAGGAUUUAUGAUGCAAUAAGACCAUAAAGUAGUGAGUGGGUGAUAAUGGUCAAAACUGACCUUAUAUUAUAAAGUUUAUAUAUUUUGUAUUAAAGGUUAAUAUAGUAAACUAAUAAUUAAAUAAACAUAUGAUAUAAUAAAUCAAUUGAAGCCAUUAUUUUCAUUCUUCCUUUGCCGAAACUUAGAAAAACAAAUAGGGUUUAAAAGCUUUGAGGUAUUCGGUCAUUAACAAGCUUAAUUCAAGGUAUGUUUUACUUUGGUUUUUGAUAAUUUUUACGUUUUUGAGAUCGUUGCUUCGUGUUCUUCAAAACCCAUAUCUUAAUUUUGUGAAUUGUGGAUGAUUUUGAAAUGUGCUAUUGAUGAAUGCUUGAGUUUUAUGAUGUUAGUAGGUGAAAUAUGAAAUAUAUUUGUUAGAUUAAUAUAUUUUGUAUUGGAAUUUUUAGUGAAAUUGAGUAAAUAGGGCUAAAUUGUGAAAUUAAAUUUUUGGGGGACUAAAGUGUGAAAUAAAUGCAAUGUGUGGACUUGUAUGAGAACCAUGAAUAUUCGGCCCUUGUAUGGUAUGGGGAAAUUUUGUAUAAAUUGUGUUUUAUGCAAUAGGGACUAAAUUGCAAAAAGUGUAAAUAUUAGGGGCAAAAUAGUAAUUUGCCAAAUUAUGUGUUUUUGGAUUAAAUUGAAUGUGUUAAUAAAUAAAUUAUCUUAUUUUGAAUAUAUUUAGAUCGAGAACCAAAGAAAUCGGAGUUAGAUCGGGGAAAAGCCAAAUUAGUCGAAUAAUCGUCCGACUUCGAUUUUCCAUCGUCCGAGGUAAGUCUAUUAGCUAUUUAAUGUUAUUAAAUCAAUAUAUAUAUGCAUGAAUAUGUAUUAUGUUGUUGUUGAGCUAUAAUUAAAAGUAAUUUAAUUGAAUAAAUUCAAAUUAUAAAUGGUAUAAAUAUGUAUAUACAACGUUCAAAUAUAUAGGUAUAUGCUUAUAUAAAUUUUUGAACUAAUUUAAAGUAUGAAUAGUAUAAAGUUAUAUAUAUAUAAAUUCAAAUAAUUAUAUAUGUAUCUAUAUGUAUACAUAUACUUGAAUUUGGUUGGUUGUAUGAGAGUUAUAUAUAUGUGCACUUAAGAUUCAAAUAUAUGUAAGUAAAUACAUGUAUAAAUUCUUGCUUAAAUUAAAGAUAUGUAUAGUACAUAUGUAUACAUAAGUUUCGAACAUAUAGAUGUAUGUAAAAACAUUUGGUUUUGAUUAAAAGUAUGUAUGUUGUAAUUGUACAGAUAAUUUCGAAUAAGUAAGUAUAUGGAGUUGGAACAUCUAUAUAUAUAUAUAUAUAUGAAUAAGUCUUGAUUAUAUUUUAAGGUAUAAAUGUUAAAAACGUACUUGGGAGUUCGAAUAUAUCUAAAUGUAUAUUUUUGUACAGAUUCUUGAAUUGAAUCGAAUGUAUGAUUCGCAAACUCUUUUGUGAUUGAAUAUGGACUACAAUGAAUGUGUGUUUGCUGUUAAUAAGUAUUUGAGGAAAUUAUUCUGUAUAUGGGAAAAUUGAGAUUUUCAAGCAUAGCGCUUAGCAGGCUUAUUGCUGGUGAAGCACUUCAGACUAUAUGUCUAGCAUGCUUAAUGCCGGUGAAAUAUUUCAGACUAUAUGUCUAGCAGGCUAAGUGCCGAUGUAUUGAAUUAGGCUUAAAGCCUAGCAGGCUAAAUGCCGGUGAAUCUGUUUUGAGUAUCUGAUUAGGUGUACAAUUAUAUGAUUUUGGAUAUAUUUAAUUGAUAAGUAUAUUUAUAUAUAUACAUUUGGCUAAGUGCGUUUGAUGAUUAUAUAUAUAUAUAUCCGGCUUAUACAAUUGAGAAAUAUAUAUAUGCUCUGGGAUUAUGCAUUUGAUAAAUAUAUACUUUUAAAUAUUCGGUACACAUAUUUGAUUAGUAACUAUAUAUGCAUUCGAGAUAUAUAUAUACCUUGGUUUAUAAGUAUUUGAUGAAAAUGAAUGCAUUCGUUCAUAUGUAUUAGAUUUGUAUUGGUUUAAAGUUUAAAAUGAGUAUUCAUACACAUUCGGUUAUGAUAUGUGUAUAAUAUAUAUAUGCUCUGUUGUAUACAUUCAUUGUAAUGUGUUUGGUAUAAAAAUAUAUAUUCAAUUGAUCGCUUUCGAUAGGUAUGCAUAUCUGUCUAUAAAUGAAAUGGGCUGAGUACAAUAAUAUAUAAAUAUUAGUUAUUCGUGUUAAUUGAAAUCUCAGUGAAAUAGAUUAAAAAGUAACUUUAUUUAUAUAUUUAUAUACAUUUAGUUAUGCUGUAGACUUACUAAGCUAUAAAAGCUUACUUUGUUUGUUUUCGUCCAUUUGCUUUUAUAGAUUUUGGAGACGCGUUACGAGCUCGGGGAUCAUCAGCAUAGUCCAUCACACUAUCGACUUCUUUUGGUAUUUUGUUAAAUAUUUGAACUCAAUCUUAUGGCAUGUAUAGGUUUGAGUACAAUGUUAAUUACAUUUUGAUUUUAAAUUAUAAUAGCUAUGCGAAAGUAAUUAAAUUUUUACGUUGUGAUCAGUUUGGUUUUAAAAAUGUUGAAUUUGUUCGGUAAUGCCUCGUAACCCUAAUUCAGCGACGGAUACGGGUUAGGGGUGUUACAGGUGCUCUUUGUGGGCACAUGUCUAGUUGUACCUGGGUGCUUGUUGGGGUAAAACUUGGAGGAUAAGCAGGGUCCUCAUGAUCAACCCCAAAAUCAACUAUAGGGCUUUUUCCUUUAUCGUUCCCUCCAGCCAAUAACUGCUUUAAUUUAUUUAUCAUAGUGCUCUGGGAUUCUAGCAUGUCUUGCUGAAUUUUAUCCAGUCGUUCUUGCAUCUGAUCUUGCAUAUCCUUUUGCAAUUGUUCCAAUAUUUCUAACCUCUGAUCCAUUACUUUUGUUUGGCGACGAGUACCGUAAUGAUAUUUGGUUGGAUUCUUGUUGGUUUCCAGGGUAACUGUGACAAUUUUGAUUAAUUAGGGCCCUUUUAUGAAACUUAAUGCAUGCAAUGAAAUGUAGUGUAGAUGCAUGAAUGCAAAAAGAGGCAUUGAUUCUAAUUCAAUUUCAUUAGAAAAACUCGACUAGAAAACAAAUUCCUUUACAUGAAAUGGAUUACAUAUACGGCUUUGCUUUUAUACCUAAAGCCUUAACCUUCCUAAGGAGCCAAGAUAAAUCUCGACCUCGUCUCAAUUUUGAUUCAUACUUUAAACUCAAUUCAUCAGCCUGAACCACUAAGGUUUGCAAAUGAUCGGCUAUUUCCCGCACUUGAGUUACAGCUUCUCCCAUAAUAUAGUCCCUUUCUCUAAUCUGACUUUGAGAACGAUGGAAUUGCUCUUGCCAUUGCUCAUUACUCCUUUGAAGAAGCUCCACUUGCAAUUCAGAAUUUUACAAUGCAUCCUCAUGCUCUCCUAUCUUUCCAUUCAAUUCAUCGAUCUUUUUCAAACUCGCCCUCAGUUCGAUUGCGGAGUUGCGACUACGGUACAGGUGAAGUGACUUUUCUAGCUCUGCCACCCGAGCUUUUAAUCCUGCUUUUUCAUUUUGGCAUUCUGACAAGCUUUUCUCCAAAAUGCUUUCUCGAGCUCGAGCGUCUUGAAAUUCUUUUUCCCACUUAUCAGCCUUAGUUCUUUCUUUCUUGAUCUCUUGUCACCACUACUCCGACUAUUUACCCAAACCGGUAGUUCUUAUCGACAACUGUAACUUCUUAUAAUCUGUUUUUAGACUAUCCAAAUCCUCUUCAGCCUUUUUCUUCCCUUUCUUUAGUUUCUCAGCUUCUAGCUUGUGGAUAUCGACGUCUAGCCCCAAACGCAUCUUCUCCUCUUCUAGCCGCUCUAUCUUCUUUCCCCACUCCGAACUCCUUUUUUCAAAGUCCUUUUUGAUGAACUCCAAUUCCGACGAAACUACUUGCAGCUGUUCCUCUAGAGACUGAACGCAAUCUUCUCUCGGCCAAGGGAUACUGUCAUUGACCCUUUUGCUCCACCACCCAUAAUAUUUGGGAGUUGUCAUUGCCCCUACAGUAAAUCUUUUCAUCCGGUGAACUCGUUUCCAAGCGUUAGAUAUUUCUUAAAAUUUUCUCUUAUAGUUAUCAUCCUUAUAAGAGAACUCGAACUGUGGCCGGUGUAAACUAUCUCGACCUAUAUUGUCUUAAUACAAGCAAAGGGGUAUAUUCGACAGCUCCCCAAAUUCCAAGUAAAAGGACCCAGUGGAAGUCCCCACAUCGAUAUAAGAUCUCGUCCGGCACCAUCCAAGGAGCUUUCCAUUCAACGUCAUCUUCUUGAAGACUGUGGAGAAUUGCCAUCCACUUCUCUUCUGUGAUGUCGUCUCGUCUUGGUGUAGCCACUAGCUCUUUUAAUGGGGAGUAAUUUUCUGAGAAGACCCGAUAUGAGACCUUUUCCACCUUCCAAAAGUGACUAUGGAACCACACCAAUAGCAACUGCACGCAUCCGAUGAACCUUCCUUCAUCCGCCCUUCUAGACGCAUUUAGGGACCUGAAGGUUUCAGCCAAAAUUGUUGGGACCGGUGUGACUCCCUUGUCAAGCCUAUCAAAUAAAUCUGAAACUGCUUCAUCCACAUGGCCUAAUGCCUUAGGGAAGACAACUAAGCCAUAAAUGCUUAAUGUAAAGAUAUCAACCCUCUUCUUUAUAUCCGGACGUGUCAAGAUCAGAUCUUGCAAGUUUUUCCAAGGUAUGCAUUUACUGUCCCCAUUUUGCUUAAUCCGGGCUGCAACCCAUUGCUCGCUCAUUCCGGUGAUGCACAUUAAUUUCUUCAAGAAUGUCGGAACAUUAGCUGCUCUCGAGUAGACUUUGUCAACUUGGAUCCUCGGACACCAUAGCAAGGUUGUAUAUUCCUCUACUGUAGGUACCAAAUCUAUUUUCCCAAACGUGAAACAACUAUAGGUCAGAUUCUAGUACGAUGCAAGGGCUCAAAAUAGGCACUUGUCUACUCUUACAUCAAGCAAAUAAUGCAGAUCACCGUAGUUGCUAUAAAAGAGUUGCUUGAUCUCGUUAUCCCACUGGUUCCAUAUCUCUUUUUAUUAUUGCACACCAUCCUGAGUCACACUAAUGUGAGUGGAGUCUCAUAAUUCUGAUGCGUAUCCUUCCAUUAGGCUAUCACCUUUUUCUUGCUAAACUUUUUCGGACCAAACUCGGACAGCCGCAUUGUCUUCCACUUUACCAAGAAACUUCCUUUCCAUGUUGAGCUUCUCUAUUUAGAUAUUGAAUGUUAACCAACACCUCUUUAGAAAUGAAAAUGUCAUGCAAUCAAAAUCAAAGCAAACCAAAAUAAGUUAGUAUUGCACGUUAAGCUCUUAAGGGUUUGGCAUGGCUCUACCUAGGGUAAGCUCUUAAGGCUCGUUAUAUGAGGUUCGAUUCUAAAGUAAGGGUACCUGAACUUGCAGAUUCCUCAAUCCUCACCCAUUAUAGGUUCAUACGGAUCGAGUUCAAUUCAGGGGGACACAUUUCCUUAUGGCUACACAGAGAUGAAAAUCUCACGAAGACAUCAGUACAAAUGUAUCCCGGAAGCGAUCCACUAUCCUACACGGAGGUGAAAACCUCACGAAGGACUAGUUUCUCUCUCCCACUUAGCAGGGUGUGACCCAAGGUCAGGCAAUGCAAUGCAGCAAUAUACCAAGCUUAAACUACCACAGCAAUCAAAUCACAAUAAAAAAACUGAAAUAAAGACGAAUGAAAUGCAAUGAAAGGAUCGUAAAUUUAAACCAAAUCUUCAAUUUUCGAAAAAAAUACAAAAAGUAAUCAACUCGUGGCUUGACUCUCGUGUUACAUCCCCAGUGGAGUCGCCAAGCUGUUGACACAUUUUUUUCGGGUAAAACGGCGUCGACUUGGUUUUUUUUAAAAUGAAGAAGAAAACGAGAGUCACCACCAAUCUUUUUUGAUGAGGUGUGACUGGGUCACCUCGUAAAAGAUGUUAUAAUAAUAAAUGAUUUGAUUUAUUAAAACAAUAAUUUCGGUCUACGAAAUUCAAAAAAAUGAGUUAAGGAGUCGGUUACGUAUGAGGAAGGAUUAGCACCCUCGUAACGCCCAAAAUUGAUACCUAGUUGAUUAGUUAAUUUCUUAAUGUCGAAGAUUGAAAAUUUUAAAGAGAUUUAGAGUACGAUCCUUAAAAAAAACUCAGACAACAUUGAUUGAGAUUUAAGAGGAUAUUUGGCUAUUUAGUUGAACGAGAAAUCGAAACUCAGCACGUUAGGGCACGUUUUCUCGAAUUUCUAAACGCAAAAUAUUGGCUCACUUUGAAAUUUUAAAAGGAUAUUUGGCUUUUGGUCGAACGAGAAAUCGGAACCCAGCACGUUAGGGCAUGUUCUCUCGAAUUUUCAAACGCAAAAUAUUACCUUACUUUGAAAGUUUAAAAAGAUAUUUGGCUAUUUGGUCGAAUGAGAAAUCGAAACCUAGCUCGUUAGAGCACGUUCUCCCAAAUUUUCAAACGCAAAAUAUUGCCUUACUUUGAAAGUUUAAAAAGAUAUUUUGCUUUGGUCAAACGAGAAAUCGAAACCCAGCACGUUAGGGCACGUUCUCUCGAAUUUUCAAACGCGAAAUAUUGCCUUAUUUGAAAACUUUUUCCUUUUUUAUUUGAAUAAUGGACGAAAGUCGACAAAAUAUCUAUCAAUAUGCACAUAUUUUAUUUCAUUAUGCUUUUAAAGAGAUCGUUUAAACUUUGAAAGGAUCCUAUGCGGCUAAUAACGAUAUUGUCAUAUACUUUUGAAAUUGAUAAUGAAAUAAUUUACAUAAAAAAGACAUAAUAGACAUGGCAUCAAUACUAAUGAAUCGUAAAGUUAAUACGCAUAAACGACAACACUCAUGAUAACGCAAAUGUCAAUAUACUAGCAAAUGAUAAUAAUGACAAUAAUGGAUAAAACUAAAUUUGAAAGUACAUAAAAAUAGUAAAUAAAUGAAGAGAAAUAAAAAUUAUAAACUGAACAUAGAAUAAACGAGCCAAUUUUUUAAAAAUAAAAAUACAAAAAAAUCGAAAUAAUUUAAAAUAAAUAAAUAAAUAAUGAUUAUUUUUUAUUUAAAAAAAGUAUAUGAAAAAAUGUUAAAAGAUAUUAUACAUAUAAGAUAUUUAAAAACAAAUGAUGUAAUAAAAUCUUAAAUAAAUAUUAAGUAAACGUUUUAAAAUAAAUAAUAUGUAUAAAAAUCAAAAUAAAUAAUAAAAGAACGAGUUAAAUAAUAAUAUAAAUUUUAAAAUAAAUAAAUAACAUAAUUUGCAAAAAUAAAUUGAAAUCUAACAAAAUCGGGACCAAAUCGGGACAAAAAUGAAUUUAAAGGGCAAAAAAGGUAAUAUAAUAAGCAAAGAGGAGUAAAAUCAAAGUUGUGCAAAAGUUGGGGACCGAAUGGAUAAAUAAACCAAAAUCUGGACACGUGUCCGCCGUUUCGGUGUGUCAGUGAGCCAGGGACGAGUUUGAAAAAAAAGAAAAAUUCUGGGGAUAAAUUUAAAAAAACAAAAAGGAGUAAAUUAAAUGAAACAUAAACGCAGAGGGACCAGUGUUGCAAAUAGUCCAUUCACCGCCAACACGCGGAUCCUGUGAACUCUUGGGUCGGGUCGCGAGUCAGAGGCCCAAAACGAUGUCGUUUUGGCCUCUGAACCCCACCCCCAAAACGGCGCCAAAAUUUGGUAGCUGUCGUUAUAACUAUCGAAUUUUAAAUCCACUAUUCGACCAACAUUAACUGGUAAUAUAGGGUAAAUAGGGAAUCGACCCACGAAGAAGCUCGUGUUAAAUCUAUUUGAAGAGAGUUGAAAUUAAGGUAAUGUAAAACACAUGCAAGAAAGAAAAAAUAGGGGGUUUAUGCUUCUACGUUUGCUAAAAAUAACCUAAAGUGACAAACAAGUUUUAGCUUUAAUUAUGAAUGUUGAAAAAUUAUCAAAAUAAAGAGAAAGAAUGCUUAGUUAUUGAUUCCUUAAUCCGCCAAGCACAAGUCCUUUGCGCCCUUAAAUUAUCCUAGUAGACUAACUCAGCAGCUAGGCUGAGAAAUCACUUACGAAGCGACUUCCUAUCCCCAGUAAAUUUUUAUUCAAUUAGAGAACGUUCAUAACUGCAAACCUACCUUUAAUUAUCUAUUUGUUGACUAAUUAAAGGUGCAAUUAGUAUUUUAGAGACUUCACCUAGCAUUAAUAAAAGAAAAUCCUCCAGCGGCUUCUAAAAUUAAAUCCUUAGUUGUUUUAAUUAGCUGCAGGCCAAUUAAUCAUCACCAAUUCUAAGUUUAAUUAAGAAAUUCGAUUACUUAAUUUGCACUUGGAUGAUUAUAAGAAAAUUCCCAAAUUAAAUAGGUGAUCAAUCCAGUUGAUUGAGAAAAAUUCAUUGAGCGAUAAAACAAACAAUUCAAGAAUGCCGAAUUCGAAUUUAAAACAAAAUAAAUCCUCAAAUCACUUGUGCUCGGUUUCAUAAGUAUCUAACUAAGCUUAAGAAAUUUAGCCACUCAUAGCAAGUAAAAUAAGGCAAGAAUCAAUUGUAAACAACAUGAAUUACGAACUGAAUCUUGGAAAAGAAAACUUCUCAAAUCGUCGAGCUUCCCUCCUCUCUACUAGCUGAAAUUUUAGGCUGCUAUUCCAACUACUUGAUCGGUCUUUGCUGGUUCAAUUAGAGAACUUUUUCUUCUUGCUCGAGUGCCAUGCUCCUCUGCUAUAUCUUCCUCUAUUUUUGACUGCCCUUUUUAAGCUGCUGAAUGCCUCUUUUUAUGGAAUAAAUCAAAAAUCAAAAUCUAAUCUACUCCCUUUUCAUAUCCCGUCGCACAAAAAUAGCUCCAGCUCACUAGAGUUUCACUUCAAUUUUACUUCUCAAGGCUGAAACGGGGUCCCCUUGCUUUAAUUAGAGUCGGUCACCAUUCCGAAAAGGAAAUCAAAUAAUUCCCUUGUUGGUUUUGUUUGCACAUUCAGCCUGCUGCAUUUCUAAUUGGACCGAAUUUUCUUCUUUUGUCCCAAUGUCUUUUGUGGUAAUUUUGGUCAUUGAAUUUUAUAUUUUGACCAUGUCAAUUUAAUUUUUUCAAAACCAGCAUAUGAUCAUCCUUAUCCCACAGCUUCAUUCAUGAAAAUCAGUUUCCAAAUUGAGCUCAUUCCAACAUCCAAAUGUCCUUAACCUACGCAUGGCUUAAAAUUAACAUUAAAUUGUUGAAUUGGAGCGAAAACAAAUUAUUACGGCAUGGAAUGUACUUAAUUUAAUUUAGGCUAAUUAAAAUUCAAUUGAUCAGAAAUUAAUCAAUAAUUUAAAAAACUUAGUUGAAUAAGUUAAGCUCAAAAUUGAACUUAACAAACUCCCCCAUACUUAAACUAUUGAUCGUCCUUGAGCAAUCAAGUCGAAAAGAAUCAAGAAGGCUCUCAAGAAAUCAAGUUUUAAUCAAGAGUUGUUGUAUCGUUCAUGCUUGGGAUGAAUUUGGAAAUCAACAGUCCUAGAUUUUGGUUUAUCAAAGAAAAGAAAAUAUGCUUUAAAUCCACAAGAAUUCAAAAUUAAUCAAAAUGUACGAAUGCUUAUUUUGAUCAAUUCUCACUGAAGGAAGAGAAAAUGAUUAACACUCGCCACUCAAUGUGUUUAGGCUAGUAUGUUGCUCUCAAAUUGAAAUUGACAGUAAUUAACCACCAUAGGCUUGCUUGUCCACCUUAUCUAUAACAUAACACAUAAAAUUCCAUAAAUAUAAUCGAGGCUAAAUAAAGGUUGUAAUGGGGCCAAGGUACUGUUUGGCGGACAUGAGGAAUUUAUUUGGAUUGUGGAGCUAGUUUUCUUAGGCCAGUACAAUCGUUUGGAAGUCAUCAAUCUCUCUUAUUUCUUUUUUUUCUUUUUUUUUCUUCAAGAGUAGAUAACUAAUGCAAUCAGCCUUUCAUCGUUUCCAUUUUCAUACCACUUGAUUCGGCCGAUCCACUUCAUUAUGAUCACAUAAUGCCUCAUUCAUUUAGUUUAAUAGAAAGGCUGCAACUUACUGAUUUUUUCUCAAGAAAAUCAUCCCCUAAUUUCCAGCGUAAAACCACCCCAAAUCGGCCAACAUAUGUCGAAAUUAAGAUGGACUUCCAAACUGAAUUAACUAGCCUAAAAAGGUGAGUUGAUUCAGGCUUUGGUUUAAUUUCUAGAGGUACAUAAAAAAUUGGGAAAUUAAGGCUUCAAAUUGGCUAACUAAUUGGAAUAAUGUCAAGGUCGGCUUUUAUAAGUAAUCGUGGCUUAAUUCCUAAUGCCUCUUAAAUCAUAUUAAUGUAAAUCAAAUGUAUUACUAGACUUAAUAAGAUCUAAAGCAAGUUCUAGAGUAAUUGACAGUCGAUAACAAUAAUCACACAUGAAUGAAUGAUAACCUCUCAAGUUGGCAUGGAUGUCCCAACUUUACUCUCUAGGCUCAAAUUCCUCACAAGGACCACAUGAUUGAUCAAUUAAAUAGACUAACUUUGAUCCAUUUCCAAUUUUUUUUCUUUUUCCCAUUUUCUUUUCUAACCCAAAAUCAGUCAUUUGAAAACAAAAUUUAACCCAACCAAUCGACAUACAACAAUCACAAUCAACUUGAAUUCAUAAAAUAUACCUUCAUUCUUUUAAUUCAAUAUUCUCCUCAAGAAAUUUAACAAAAUUUAUUCAUAAAAUUUGCUAAAAACAAGCAUCAAAUAUGCUAGAAAAUCAAUGAAUUGAUUCUCCCCCAUACUUAAUGUUUGCAUUGUCCCUAAUGCAAAAGAAAAUUAAAAAAUUACUAAUGGAAAGAAACAAUAAUAAUGUAAAAGAUAAAAGAAAAAAAACUUCCCUGAAUAAGUGGGUUGCCUCCCACAAGCGCCUUUGUUUGAAGUCGUUGGCUCGACAUCGCAAUUCUUCAUGGAUCCUCAAGAUUGAUCUCCUCCAACCAAGCUGCUUGCUCCCCUUCAUGAAAAUGUUUCAACCUGUAACCAUUCACCUUGAAAAUUUUAUUAGUUUCGAGGCUCCUAAUUUCGAUUGCCCCAUGAUGAUGCACCUCAGUUAUUAUAAAUGGUCCAAGCCACCUUGAUUUUAACUUACUAGGAAACAAUUUAAGCUUAGAAUUAAAUAGUAAUACCUUUUCCCCCACCUUAAAUUCCUUGCAAAUCAGCUUUGAGUCACGAAAUGCCUUCGACUUACCUUUGUAAAUAACUGAAUUGUCAUAUGCUUCUAAGCGCAACUCCUCCAAUUCCUGCAACUUCAACUUGCGCGCUUCACCUGCCAAUCUAUAGUCCAAAUUGCAUUGCUUAACAGCCCAAAAUGACCUAUGUUCGAGCUCUACGGGAAGAUGACAUGCCUUUCCAAAAACAACCCUAUAAGGCGACAUCCCUAUUGGAGUUUUGUAAGCUGUUCGAACAGCCCACAAUACUUCAUCCAACCUUUGGCUCCAAUCUUUCCUAUUGGGUUUAACAAUUUUCUCUAAAAUUCCCUUAAUUUCCUUGUUACUACUCUCGGCUUGCCCAUUGGUUUGAGGGUGAUAAACUGUCGAUACUUUGUAGGUGACACCAAAUUGUGCAAAUAAGGCUCUCAAGGUUCUAUUACAGAAAUGUGUUCCCUUGUCACUAAUUAUAGCCCUUAGUACUCCAUAUCUAUUUAAGAUGUUGGUCUUAAGACAUUUCACCAUAGUUUUAGCAUCAUCGGCCCUAGUUAGAAAUGCUUCCACCCAUUUCGACAAGUAAUCAACACACACAAGAAUGUAUAGAUAACCGAAAGAAGAAGGAAAAGGCCCCAUGAAAUCAAUACCCCAUACAUUAAAUAUAUCACAAACAUAAAAAUUAUGUAAUGGCAUUUGAUUUCUGCUACUUAAGUUGCCGGUUUUUUGACAUGAGACAUAAUUUUUGCAAAAUGCGUAUAAGUCUUUAUGAAUAGUCGGCCAAAAUAACCUACACUCGAGUAUCUUAUGAGCUGUUCUCUUAGGCCCAAAAUGUCCCCCACCUUCUCGAGAAUGACAAAAAUUAAGCACCGAUUCUAUCUAACUAUCAUCGACACAACGCCUAAUUAUUUGGUCACUACAAAAUCACCAAAGGUAUGGCUCUUCCCAUAAGUAAAAUCAGGCUUAACUUCUAAUUUUUCUCUCAAAUGCCUAGGUGCAUUCGUGGGAAACUCUUUAGUCACUAAUUAGUUCACUAUGUCGGCAUACCAUGGAAAAACACUAGACAUACUAUAAAGUCUCUCAUCGGGAAAUAAGUCGCUCGGCUCAUUCCUUAAAACUCUAGUCUCUAUCCUACUGAAAUGAUCAGCAACAAGGUUCUUUUUACCCUUCUUAUCUUUAAUUUCUAAGUCGAAUUCUUGCAGCAACAAAAUCCACCUAAUCAAUCUAGGCUUGGAUUCUUUUUUACGCAACAAAUAUUUAAGAGCACUAUGGUCAGAAAAUACCACGACUUUGACUCCUAGCAAAUACGCUCUAAAUUUCUCUAAGGCAAAGACUAUGGCAUAGAGUUCUUUCUCGGUGUGGUGUAAUUGCACUAAACAGGGUUUAAUAGCUCACUAGCAUACAUAAUAAUAUAAGACUCCCUACCAUUUCUUUGUCCUAAUGCCGCACCAACAGCCUUAUCACUAGCAUCACAUAGAAUCUCGAAAGGUAAUGCAUAAUUUGGUCCUUGAAUGAUAGGUGCCGCGAUCAAUUUUUGUUUCAAUUCAUCAAAAGAUUUUUUACAAUUUUCAUUAAAUUCGAAUGUGACAUCCUUACCUAGUAAUGCACAUAAAGAUGAAGAUAUUUGCGAAAAAUUCUUGAUAAACCAAUGGUAAAAACCUACAUGCCCCAAGAAGGAUCGAAUUCCUUUCACAAUACUAGGAUAAGGUAAAUUUUUAAUCACCUCAACUUUGGCUUGGUCGACUUCUAAACCUCUAGCUGAGACGACAUGCCCCAAUACUACACCUUUCUCAACCAUGAGAUGACAUUUCUCAAAAUUCAAUAUCAGAUUAGUCUCAAUGCAACGCCUAAGCACUAACACAAGAUGAUGCAAACACUGAUCAAAUGAAUCACCAUAAACAGUAAAGUCAUCCAUAAAUACUUCCAUUAAAUAUGAAAUAAAAUCUGAAAAAAUACUCGUUAUACCUCGCUGAAACGUAGCUGGUGCAUUGCACAAUCCGAAAGGCAUUCUCUUGAAGGCAUAAGUUCCAAAUGGGCAAGUGAAGGUGGCCUUCUCUUGAUCCUCAGGUGCGAUGGGUACCUGUAAAUAACCUGAAUAGCCAUCUAAGAAACAAAAAUGUGAGCGACCGGUGAACCUUUCUAACAUUUGAUCCAUGAAUGGAAGAGGGUAGUGGUCUUUUUUAGUGGCUUUGUUCAGCUUCCUAUAGUCUAUACAAACCCGCCAAUUGUUCUACACUCUUGUAGGAAUUUCUAACCUUUCUUCGUUGGUGACUAUUGUGGUUCCUCCUUUCUUAGGGACAACAUGAAUCGGGCUCACCUAUUUUGAAUCAGCUAUAGGAUAAAUAACAUCAGCUUCUAACCAUUUUAAAAUUUCAGUCUUAACCACCUCCAUCAUCGGUGGAUUCAAUCGGCACUGGGGGUCUCUUUUAGGGACUGAGUUUGGUUCUAAGGCUAUCUUGUGAGUGCAUAAAGUCGUACUAAGUCCCCUAAUGUCGGCUAGUGUUCAACCGAAGGCUUCUCUAUGCUCCCUAAGAACUCUAAGCAGCUUGGAUUCUUGGAUUUCGGUUAGGGCAUUCGACACUAUUAAUGACAAAGUUUGAUUUUCACCUAAAAAAAUGUACUUUAAAUUUUCGGGCAGCUCUUUUAAUUCCAAUUUAGGUGCUGAAAUCAGUGAAGGAAUUUGCUUAUUAGUCACCGUAAGGCUAGGGAGGAUCGGCUUGAAGUGUGUCAAUUUAGGCGAGUCUAAUGCACAAACCGAAUUAAUUAAAGAAUCAGAAAUGAUAAAUUCAUGCUCAUCGAUAUCAAAAAUGCUUUUAGCUAGAACACUUUUUAACUCGUCAUCCUCCCCUAAUUCAUAAACAUCUUGAAAAAAAUUAUCAAUUACAUCAAGGGCAAACACAAAAUUAAUAUCAGUGGGAUAUCUCAUAGCAUCAAAUAUAUUAAAUUUUAUUAUCUCACCAUCAAAUUCCAUAGUUAAAUUCCCUUUAUGUAAACCAAUUUUCGUUCUAGCGGUCUUAAGGAAAGGUCUACCUAAAAGUAAGGGUACAUCAAUCGAAUUAUUAUUAGGUCCCAUGUCUAAAAAAUUGAAAUCGGCUGGAAAGACUAACUCAUUUACUUGCACUAGAACAUCUUCUAAGACGCCAUCAGGGUAGGCAUUACUCCUAUCCGCAAGUUGAAUUAUCAGUCCUGUUACUUUUAAUGAACCUAAUUGUACUCUGUCGUAGAUACUUCUAGGCAUGACAUUUAUAGAAGCUCCUAAAUCAAGCAUAGCUCUAUCAAGUUUAAGGUCUCCUAUCUUACAAGGUAUCGAAAAACAUUCCCAGAUCUUUGCAUUUAGGUGAGAGUUUCUUUUGAAAUACCGCAGAUACAUUUUCGCCUAAACUAAUCUUCUCAUUUCCAAUUAAUUUCCUUUUAGAUGUGCAUAACUCUUUCAAAAACUUAGCAUAUCUAGGCACUUGUUUAAUUGCAUCAAUCAAUGGAAUAUUAACUUGUACCUUGCGAAAAGUCUCCAGAAUUUCAGCAUUAACAUCGUCUGACUUUUCCUUCCUCAAGCGCUGUGGAAACGGAGCUUUUAGUGCAUAAGAUCGCUGCUGGUCAUUAGCGUUCGAACGUUUCUCCUCGUGAGGCUCGAAGGCCUGCAUUUUCUACUCAGAACGUACUGCCUCACGCGAAACUGUGGGCUGCUGUAGGUGCGAUUUUUCUGCCUCCCUUAGGGCUGUUCUUGACAAUUGCAAAUCAGCCUUUGGCAUGACUAAAUUCUCCUCUAUUCUAUCAUUGAGUUGGACUUUUUAUACCUAGGUCUCGCUCUCUUCAUCGCUGUUUUGGACCUUUUUUAAUCUAGUCUUAACUCCUUCCCGCUUCGUAAAGUUACGACACUAACAUUAUCCCUUGGAUUCGCCACUGGCUGUGAUGGCAAUUGGUUAUUCACUUGUGCUUGCAAGUUCCCAAGGUUAACAUCGAUUGAUGAGGCUCUAGUUUGCAAUUGCUUCACGGCUGAUUCCAAAGCUUGGAAUCUUCCCUAGGUUUCCUUCUUUUGGUCGGCCAUCAUCUUCAUCAUUUGAGUUUUAAUGGCCUAUCAAGGGCGGGAUAAGUGAUAGAUGGUGGUUGUGCAGCCAAGUUUGGUGCGGCUAAUUGCUUCAAGGUUUGGUUGGCCAUGUCGUUAUCUUCUGAAACGUUAGGCUCAACGUAGAGGUUGUGAGGUUCGGCUUGUUGAUUGGUGAUGUUAACAGGGAACAUCAAUGUUCGUCGUCCGCUCCUUAAUAACAUAUACCAAAAGAAUUAAUCUAUCUACAUAAAGAAAAACAAGAAAACAAAAUAACUUCUGAAAAUCAAAUAGAUUUGACUACGUCGCUUCCCCGGCAACGGCUCCAAAAUUUGUUAGCUGUCUUUAUAACUAUCGAAUUUUAAAUCCACUAUUCAACCAACAUUAACUGGUAAUAUAGGGUAAAUAGGGAAUCAUCCCACGAAGAAGCUCGUGUUCAAUCUAUUUGAAGAGAGUUGAAAUUAAGGUAAUGUAAAACGCAUGCAAGAAAGAAAAAUUAGGGGGGUUUAUGCUUCUACGUUUGCUAAAAAUAACCUAAAGUGACAAACAAGUUUUAGCUUUAAUUAUGAAUGUUGAAAAAUUAUCAAAAUAAAGAGAAAGAAUGCUUAGUUAUUGAUUCCUUAAUCUGCCAGCACAAGUCCUUUGCGCCCUUAAAUUAUCCUAGUAGACUAACUCAGCAGCUAGGCUGAGAAAUCACUUACGAAGCGACUUCCUAUCCCCAGUAAAUUUUUAUUCAAUUAGAGAACGUUCAUAACUGCAAACUUACCUUUAAUUAUCUAUUUGUUGACUAAUUAAAGGUGCAAUUAGUAUUUUAGAGACUUCACCUAGCAUUAAUAAAAGAAAAUCCUCCAGCGGCUUCUAAAAUUAAAUCCUUAGUUGUUUUAAUUAGCUGCAGGCCAAUUAAUCAUCACCAAUUCUAAGUUUAAUUAAGAAAUUCGAUUACUUAAUUUGCACUUGGAUGAUUAUAAGAAAAUUCCCAAAUUAAAUAGGUGAUCAAUCCAGUUGAUUGAGAAAAAUUCCUUGAGCGAUAAAACAACAAUUCAAGAAUGCCGAAUUCGAAUUUAAAACAAAAUAAAUCCUCAAAUCACUUGUGCUCGGUUUCAUAAGUAUCUAACUAAGCUUAAGAAAUUUAGCCACUCAUAGCAAGUAAAAUAAGGCAAGAAUCAAUUGUAAAUAACAUGAAUUACGAACUGAAUCUUGGAAAAGAAAACUUCCGAAAUCGUCGAGCUUCCCUCCUCUCUACUAGCUAAAAUUUUAGGCUGCUAUUCCAGCUACUUGAUCGGUCUUUGCUGGUUCAAUUAGAGAACUUUUUUUUCUUGCUCGAGUGCCAUGCUCCUCUGCUAUAUCUUCCUCUAUUUUUGACUGCCCUUUUUAAGCUGCUGAAUGCCUCUUUUUAUGGAAUAAAUCAAAAAUCAAAAUCUAAUCUACUCCCUUUUCAUAUCCCGUCGCACAAAAAUAGCUCCAGCUCACUAGAGUUUCACUUCAAUUUUACUUCUCAAGGCUGAAACGGGGUCCCCUUGCUUUAAUUAGAGUCGGUCACCAUUCCGAAAAGGAAAUCAAAUAAUUCCCUUGUUGGUUUUGUUUGCACAUUCAGCCUGCUGCAUUUCUAAUUGGACCGAAUUUUCUUCUUUUGUCCCAAUGUCUUUUGUGGUAAUUUUGGUCAUUGAAUUUUAUAUUUUGACCAUGUCAAUUUAAUUUUUUCAAAACCAGCAUAUGAUCAUCCUUAUCCCACAGCUUCAUUCAUGAAAAUCAGUUUCCAAAUUGAGCUCAUUCCAACAUCCAAAUGUCCUUAACCUGCGCAUGGCUUAAAAUUAACAUUAAAUUGUUGAAUUGGAGCGAAAACAAAUUAUUACGGCAUGGAAUGUACUUAAUUUAAUUUAGGCUAAUUAAAAUUCAAUUGAUCAGAAAUUAAUCAAUAAUUUAAAUAAUUUAGUUGAAUAAGUUAAGCUCAAAAUUGAACUUAACAACAUCGUUAGGAUGAAGGCAAAAUAUUUGCCAACCAUGUUUUUCAACUACGGAAGAAAUCGCUUCAAUAUAUCCCAUAAAUGCGGCAUCUUGAAAAAGAAAACCUUUCUGUAACACCCCGAAUUUUAGGCCUAGAAGAAAUAGGUUUUGAUCAAGGAACAUUUAGGAGACUGCACAUAAAUAUUUUUUUGUGCAAGGAAGUGACAUAAAUGAAUGUCUGCUUCAGUGGUUAAGUGAUUUAAGAGUGUUUGGAAGUGUUUAAGAAGUCAGAGGUUCAAGCCUUGGCUUAUGCAAAAUUUUUAUUCUAAAUGAAUAAAAUCCUUGGAUCUAGAUAGUAGGUUCUUAAAUUAUUGUGGUUAAAAUAUGAUACAAAGGAGUUGUUGAUCUAGUAGUAAGGGGCGUGUAGAGUGUAUAUGGGGUUUAAGGUUUGAGUGGUGGAGCAUCAAAAAGGGAGUAUUUAUUUUGCUGCCUAGUUCGUGUGGGUGGUAGAGUUGCAUUGAAAUACUACUACAUGGAGUUUGAAUUGGUCAUAGAGAGAUUUGAGGAGAGAAUAUUAUGAUCUGGGGAGGUUGUUGUUGUGGAGAGAUAUAUAUCCAUCUCAUUUGUUCGUUGUUCUCGAAGGGAGAUCGACGAGGUUUUCAAGGUUUUCAUCGUUUUCUCCAACCUGCAUUGCUUUCAUUCCUAACUGGUGGUGGUCGAGGUUGAUUGUCACAUUACCUCGGAACCAAGGGUGCGAUGAUCAUUGAUUUUCGAAAUAAGAGUGUUCGGAACGAAGGGAAUCUACAAAUCGCAUUAGGUGUGUAACCACCCUACUGUAACUGUAGAACGACAAAAGCCAAAAAGCCGAAAUACGACGUUGAGACCACACAAGUGUGCGAUCGCUCAUGUGGAAAGUCAAACUUAUGAAUCAUGGGCGAUAAACUAUAGAGGCCUCCAUGAGCAUAUCCAUGGGCUUAGGCCGUAAUGGGCCACGUUGGACCGUGUGGGCUCAAUAGGCUCAUGGGCCCCACAUGGAUGAAAUUCAUGAUUCGUGGCAUAUUCUGGACUGGGUUGUGUAGAUCUCAUUACCGUGGUGAAAUCUAGGCUAAACGAGCUACACUUGCGUGUAGGCCCACUUGGGUCGAGUAAUGGGCCUUGGGCUGAAUAAUGGGCCUUGGGCCCAUUUACACUGUUAUAACCAUUAAGAUUACCUAAGUCGCUCGAGGCGGCUGUAAACCUUUCUAGAGGUGGAUAAAUGAUUGAAAUACCUCCAUAGGAUAAAAUGACCGAAAUACCCCCAUAAGGUAAAAUGACCAAAAUAUGCCCAUAGGGUAGAAUGACUGAAAUACCCCUAUAGGGUAAAAUGACUGAAAUACCCCUAUAGGGUAAAAUAACCGAAAUACCCCCAUAGGGUAAAAUGACUGAAAUACCCUCAUAGGGUAGAAUGACCGAAAUACCUCCAUUGGGUAAAAUAAUUGAAAUACCCCCAUAGGUAAAAUGACCGAAAUACCCCCAUAAGGUAAAAUGAUUUUUAUACCCCUAAGAGAUAAAAUGACUGUUAUGGCCUUAUGAUAUGUAUGACUAUGAUUGAGCAUGACAUUUUGCAUACACGUAUGAUAUUAUGUCACAACAUAUUGCAUGGGGUUGGGUUGUUAUAUUUGGAGGAAGUGUACUGUACUGAUAAGGUUGCGGGUCGCCCAAGACGACUGUGAACCUACUAGUGGCUUUGCCACAUAUACUGUUACUGAUAGCUUUGCUACGAUACUAUUACUGGCAGCUUUGCUGCGAUAUUGGUGUGUUGGCUAGAUGGGUCGAUUUUAUCCCCACAUGGUGUGUUGGUGGUACGGAGUGGUGUGUUGGCUGGAUUGGGAUGGGUUGCAUUAUUGCACUGCAUUGUUACUGUAUUGGGCUAAGGCCUACACUAAUUCUCUAUUGGGCUAAGGCCCAUACUGAUUCUGUAUUGGGCUAAGGCCCACACUGUUACUGUAAUGGGCCAAGGCCCACACUGUAUUGAUACUGUAUAGGGCUCAGGCCCAAAUUGAUUUUGCAUUUUGCAUAGUGAUUGUUUAGAAGGGGAUUACAUACUGAGUUUCGUAAACUCACCCUCUCCUUUAACUGUGCAGGUAAUCCUCAGCCAUACGCAAUUCGGAGCUGCAAGGGACUUGGAGAAGGCGACACAAUCACUGCUUUUCAUAUAUGCAUUUAUUUUGAUUUAAAUAAUAAGUUGGGUUUUGGUUUUGUAAUAAGGUCUUUAAUUUGGUUUUAAAUUUUAAUUGGGUUUUUCACUUACAUAUUUUAUACUGCUAGUUAGUUGGAAACGGAUUUUCAAAAUAAUUACUAUUUCCAAAGACACAGGCUUUAAACAUUAGAUUUUUCAAAAUGCUUUCGGGUUUUAAAUCAACUAAUAUAACAAAAAGUAGUUAACAUGGCAAACAUAUAAUUAAGUGUUCCGUUAGUUAUUAAUAAGAUGUUUCCAAAAUUAAGAAACAAGUUUGUCAACAAGCCAAAUUUUUUAGAAACACUUCAAUAUGACACGCCAGAUUCGACCAUAACGUCUAGGCCAGGUGUGGGGUGUUACACUUUCUCCAUACAGAAGGGUCACUUGGAUGCGUUCAUGGUAUACUUUUCUUCAACAGCUUUGUUGAAAAACAUUCUUAAAGGUACAAAGGUUGAUGAAGAUGGCAUAUGUCGAGCCAUUUAGAACAAGAAAUGGUAACUGUAAAAGAAAAAGGUGAGAUCUUUACAAUUAUGGAGUAAAUAAUGAAAAUGGUGAAGAAGAAGAAACUGAAAGUAACUUGGGAAAGUAAAUGAAACGACUAGGGUAAAAGUGAGAGAAAAUAGGGCAAUGACAUAGGGGAUAAGAUUAGCCUAAAAUUAUGGUUUGACACAGUAAAGUAAAAAUUAGGCGAGAAAGAAAAAUAAUAUAAAACUUAUUAUAAGAUAGUAAACUAAAAAGUUACAAAUGUGUCAAAUGGGAUAACUACUACAAAGCUUGGGUCGUAAUCUACCUGCAAAGAAAGAAAUAAAAAUUAAUUAAACCAAUUAAAUAAAAUAAAGAAAUCAAAAGAAAAUUAAGUAAGUAAAACCAUGUAGAAGAGAACACUAAAUAGCUCGAAAAGCAAUGAAAUGUUUAUCGUGAAUUAUGGGACCUCCCCAAUAAUGCUUCAAAUGUUGGCCAUUGACUUUGAAAUUAAAUCUAGUCUUGCCAUCUUUGACUUCUACAUUUCCAUGAGGGUAAACAUGCACUAUCUCAAAUGGGCCAGACUAACGAGACUUUAAUUUGCUGGGACACAAUUUAAGCCUGGAAUUGAACAACAACACUUGUUGUCCAAAAAAAAAUUGUUGUGGAAAAAUCUUCUUGUCAUGCAUCGCUUGGUCUUUUCUUUGUACAAUUUGACAUUUUCGUAAGCCCGAGCUCUGAAUUUUCCCAUCUCAUUCAGCUCCAAUAAUCGGUUAUUUCCAACAUUAAUUCAAUCCAUGUUCAAUUUCUUAAUUGCACAAAAGCCUUAUGUUCAGGUUCAACAGGUAAAUGACACGACUUCCCAUAGACAAGCUUGAAAGGUGACAUUCCUAAUGGUGUCUUAAAUGUUGUACGAUAUGCCCAGAAAGCUUUAUCCAGUCUAGAUGACAAAUCUUUGCGAGUGGGAUUGACUACUUUCUCCAAAAUUUGCUUAAUCUCUCUAUUAGAGACCUCAGCUUGUCCAUUUGUUUAGGGAUUGUAUGUCAUCAUAAUUUUAUGUUUAACCACAUAUCUAUUCAAGGCAGUAGCAACUAAUAUGCAAUCGAAAUAGGAACCUUCAUCACUAAUCAGAGCACGAGGUGUACUAAACUUGGUGAAGAUAUUUUUAUGCAAGAACUUUAGUAUUGGUUUGACAUCAUUCGUAGAGAGAGUGACAGCCUCGGUCCACUUGGAGACAUAAUCUACAGCCACAAGUAUGUAUAUAUUGCCACAAGAAGGUGGAAAUGGACCCAUAAAAUCGAUUCCCCACAUGUCAAACAAUUAAACUUCUAAGAUAUUUUGCAAUGACAUUUCAUAUCUCUUAGAUAGAUUCCAGUUCAUUGACAACGAUCGCAAGCUUGACAAAAUUCAUGAGCAUCUUUAAACAUGCUUGGCCAAUAAAAGCACUGCUUCUGGCACUGCUCAAGUUUGCUUGCAAAUAUAGGAUUAGUACUUUCAAUAUAUGUUCAUGUCCUUUAAAGUUUGAUCAUUCAAUUUAAAAGAUAUAUGCUAGUUGGACCCUAUAUUUAGAGGCUAUUUGCAUGUUGUCAUUAUUGCUGGUGCAUGUAUCCAUAACUGAUAUGUUGUUAUUUUCUUCUCCAGCCUAGACUGUGGUGGCAGAAUGAGAUCCACAGUCUCCAUUAUCGGUUCUGAAAACAUCAGUUGUACAGAUUUGGGAGAGUAUGGUGUUGUAAUAAUUCCAGACUUUGUUCUAUCAAUUGAUGAUUAUCUUCAAAUUCUCACGAGGAUGGCACGGCACACAGUCAAUGGUGUAUUGCAUAGUUUUUUAACUAAAGAUGAUUCGCAGCAUGCUGGCCCGUUGAUCGAAAUCCUUGAACAAUGUGGGCAGGAAGUAGCUGAAGAGCUAAGAAACUUGUGAGAUGGGGAUCUUCAGUGUUGGAAUGCUUGAAAAGGGAUAAGCAGUCAUUGUUUCAAUACCCUCCGAUUUCUUUGCAGGUAAUGUUAGUAGGUGAACUGUUGCACCUGCAGUUUUGCUAAUGCAGCACUGGUGUUGACAAUUUGUAAAAUUAGUAGGCUGUGUGGUCAUAAAGAGGCAUAAAACAAGUUAUUUGAUUAUUGCUGGGUAUCGAAUGAUGAAAAAUUAGAGCUUGAUUUGAGAUAAAAUCGAAUUAUUCAAGUUUGGUUCCAAUUCCAAUUUAGCUGUUGGUUUUUCUUUUAUGGUUUAAAUUUUAUAUUGAUGGAGUAUUAUUUAUUUAUCAAAUAAUAUCUAGUUAUUUACGUGAUUUUUUUUUAAGAAAUCAUUUUUCCUUGCUACUUAGUUUUUUAGUUUCAAAAAAUUAUAUUCAUUAUUCUUCAUGUUACUACUAUUAUAAUACGUAUAUGGUAAAUAAAAUUUUCUUUUCUUAUUACUAUAAUAAUCAAACAAGACAUUUGAUUACUUUUUGAUGGGGUCUAAUUUGAACCUAAUGGAGUCCACCCGAAAUAAUUAAUCAUUUUCUUUUUAUAUGUGGAGAUGAAAAGAAGCAUGGUAAUAAUAUGUAUUUAAAAUUAUACAUAGUACGGGAUAGUGGUGA
rnacentral:lncRNA from 1 species